CCUCCAACGGCUGCAACUUACCAUGCGGUCUCUGGUGCUCGGCCUUAACCCUUCGACAGGUUAAGCACCUCUCCACGAACCACGCGACAUCCCUCUUCAUACAGGGCCACCAAUACUCUAUCCUCAGAUCUAAAUACAUCAUAGUGGCCCCAGGAUGGAUCGAGAAUUUCGACCGAUGAGCCUCUUACAUCAAAAUGGUACGCGUCCCUCCCACAAACGGUACCCAUCUACGCCCCUGAAAUGUCAUAAGCCCCCGACCAUCGGUAACGAAUUCCGAUACCAAUCCAACAACUCGCUCUCUCUUCUGGUUCUCCAAUCUCACGGCCUCAGCCUGAGCUCCACGAAUGUCAUCCAACACCGGAGCCAUCACGGUCAACCGUAAACAAACAUCCCGCAAUGGGGCGCUCUCCGCCCUGCGACUCAGGGCGUCGGCUACCACAUUAGCCUUCCCCAGAUGAUAUAGGAUCUUACAAUCAUAAUCCUUGACCACAUCCAUCCACCUCCUCUGUCUCAUAUUUAGGUUAGGCUGAUCCAUCAAAUACUUAAGGCUCUUAUGGUCCAUGUAUAUCAUACACCGAACCGCAUACAGAUAGUGACGCCAAAUUUUGAGGGCGAACACCACCGCCCCCAACUCUAGAUCAUGGGUAGGACACCUCGUCUCAUGAGGCUUCAGCUGCCUCGAUACGUAUGCUAUCACAUGCCCUCUCUGCAUCAGCACCGCUCCCAACCCCAAGAUCGACGCAUCAUAGUAUACCAAAAAGUCCUCCAUCCCCUCCGGGAGGGAUAAGACUGGGGCUUCGCAUAAUCUUUGGUGAAGCGUCUCAAAGGAGGUCUGCUGCUUGGGGCCCCAUGAAAAAGUGACACCCUUCCGGGUCAACCUGGUGAGUGGCACUGCGAUCUUAGAGAAAUCCCUGAUAAAUCUCCGAUAAUACCCUGCUAACCCUAAGAAACUCCUAAUGUCGGAGGGUGACCUCGGCACCUCCCAACUCAUCACCACCUCAACUUUGGCCGCGGUCGACCAAUAUCCCUCUCUGGUUAACGAGAUGUCCUAGGAAUUGGACCUCUCGCAACCAGAAAUCACACUUGGAGAAUUUGGCAUAAAGCCUCUCCGAUCUCAGAACUCCGAGGAUCUCCCUCAAAUGCUCCUCAUGCUGCUCUUUAGAUCUCGAAUAUACCAAAAUGUCGUCGAUGAAUACAAUCACCGACCGAUCCAACAUCGGCCUGCACACUCGGUUCAUGAGGUCCAUGAACACUGCCGGGACAUUGGUGAGCCCGAAAGGCAUCACCACAAACUCGUAAUGCCCAUAAUGCGUCCUGAACGCUGUCUUCUGGAUGUCCUCAUCUCGCACCCUCACCUGAUGAUAUCCAGAACUCAAAUCGUUCUUGGAGAACCAAGAUGCUCCCUGCAACUGAUCGAACAAAUCGUCGAUCCUCGGCAACGGGUAACAGUUCUUGACCGUCAGCUUGUUCAACUCCCGGUAAUCAAUAAACAUCCGGUGUGAACCAUCCUUCUUCUUGACAAAAAGGAUAGGCGCUCCCCACGGCGAGCUGCUCGGCCGAAUAAACCCCUUUCCCAGCAGCUCCUGAAGCUGCGAGGAUAACUCUUGCAUCUCUGGAGGUGCAAGGCGAUAAGGCACCUUGGCGAUAGGCGCGGCCCCCGGAACCAAAUCGAUACUGAACUCCACUUGCCUCACAGGAGGCACACCCGGCAACUCCUCUGGAAAUACAUCCGGGAACUCACGCACUAUCGGAACCUCCUCAACUGACCUUGGCCUCUCUGAAUCAACCCGCGUAUCCAUCACAUACGCCACAAAACCCUUACAGCCCUGCUGUAGACACUGCCUCACCCUAGCGGCCGAACAAAACGCUGACCCAGAACGUGUACCCUCGCCGUACACCAUAAGAACUCCCCCACUAGGGUCUCGUAUGGUCACCAGCUGCCGCUCGCAGCCGAUAACCGCACCGAAUCUGCUCAACCAGUCCAUGCCCACAAUGACACAGACAUCAUCCAUCGCAAUAGGAACCAAAUCAAUCGGGAACUCAACACCGAAUAUCUCGAAUACACACCCACGGAUCAUCUCCGUGGCAUAUUUCACCCUCUCGUCAGUUAUGGAAACUCUCAGAGGCUGACUCAACACCUCACGACUAGUAUUGAUAUGCUGACUAAAAGCCAAAGAUACAAAAGACCGACUCGCACCCGAGUCAAAUAACACCAAGACGGGUACAGAAUUCACAAGAAAAGUACCUACGCAUAACAUAAUAUAAGCAUAAUAUGUCAACAUCAAAAUAAAUACACGAAAGAAUAUAUAAUAGCCACGACAUCAGGCACUGCGCGGACCUCCUCCGUGGUCAACUGGAAGGCUCUCCCUCAUGCCCUCGGCGCCUCGGCCUUCACUGGCCAACUGUCAAUAGCUCUGAUGGCGCCAGGGGCAGAUCCCUGAGGUGCUCCCUGAGCUGAUCCCCGCAACUGCAGACACUCUGCCUUCCGGUGUCCGGUCUGGUUGCAGUGAAAACACACUGCAAACCCCUUGGGGCAGUCCUUGGCCAUAUGCCCCUCAUUGCCACACUUGUAGCAAGAUCAAGCUCUACAAACUCCAUCAUGACCCUUGUCGCACUUCCCACAAGUGCGGCCCUUCUGGCUCCUUGAUUUGGGAUCAGUGAGCUUGGCCUGCUUGGCUGCCAGCUAGGACUGUGCCGGUCGCCAAUCCCUCCCCUGAGACUCCGCCUCCUCCCUAGCCUGAGUCUCUAGCUCAAUCUCCCUCUUCCGGGCAUUUUCCUGAAGCUUGGAAAAUGUUCGGUACGAGGAGUUCAGCACAAACUCCCGAAUGUCUCGCCUGAAGAUACUCAAAUAUCGGCUCAUACAUGCCUGCUCAGUAGACACGUGCUCAGGGCAGAACAUCGCCCUCUCAUGGAACAUCUUGGUAAUCACUGUAACAGACUCAGUACCCUGCUUGAAGGUCAGAAACUCCUGGGCCAAACGCUCCCUCUCCACCUGGGGAACGUACUCAUCUCGGAACAUGGCAGUGAACCUCUCCCAGGUCACUACCGCAAGCUCAGAAGGUGUAAAGUGCGUUGUCACAAACUUCCACCAAUCCUUCGCUCCCAAGCGAAGCUGGUUCAGCGCUAACCGAACUCUCAAAUGCUCAGGAGAUGACCAAGUGAAGAAACACCCCUCUAUGUCUGAAAUCCAUCUCAUAGCCGCCACCGGGUCUUGGGUCUCAUCAAACUCCGGCGGUUUUGUGUUGCUGAACUCUCGGAGCAGCAACGCAUCACCAUGCUACGGCCUCGCGGCAACAAUAGUUGUGGUGGCUGCUGCAACAGCAGCCUCAGAAAGAGCGGCAUAACGCUCGUCGAAAGUCUCAAUCAACAUGGUCUUAAUAGACCCGAACAUCUCUGGUAUCUCUGCCCUGAUGGCCGCAGCCACCUCCUCAUGGAUGAUCCGGCGGAUCUCCUCAUCACUGGCCCCACUGCUCUCAGGCAUAAGACGUGUCCUCACCAUGAUCUACCUCUGAAAUACAACAUAUGAUAAAUUAGAAUCCAUUCGAGCAUACUCACACUCGACAACUCAUCCCUCCUUGAUCCUUGGCAUUCCAAAGAUUCUUACUUGGACUGUACACCGCCCCGGUGCUUUCAGUAGUACGGGCCCAAUACUACUGUCCGCACCGUAUCAGUAUACACCCCAAGUCCUCCUCUUCGGAUCCCAAGUUCCAAGUACUCUAUUAUGCACAAUCCACUCUCUAACAGAUCUCUCAUAAGCUCCUCCCUGCUACAUACUCACUCUCAAGCAUCUCAUAGCAGCUCACCUCUCCCUAGGCUAAGGCAUCACAAAUCAGGCCACUCUAGUCCUAAUAGGAGUACCUAGCCUACUCUAGCAUGAGAAUACAUCAUAUCAAUAUCAUAACACAUAUCAUGAGGGUAUCUUGGGAAAUUAUCGUUCGGGUGCGCACUGAUCGUACACACGACUCUGCUCUGUGUUUUCCAAAAAUCUUUUACUCUUUUUGAAAAUACUUCUCAAAUCCUCAGUUUGAGUUCAAAUACGCCCGAAGGUGUACUCGAAUCCCUCAAACCAAGGCUCUGAUACCAACUUGUAACACCAUAAAUUUCAAAACAAUUUUUCGCAUAUUAUAAAAGCAUAAAUCAUUUAAUAUUCAUAAAAACAUCAAUGUUUGAAACUCAAUCCAUGACAUAUAACAAUCCCAAGAUCUUGUAACAUAAAAUCCCGUGUGUGUAUUGAUCAAGCCGGCGCCUUCCCACGGUCAUCACUAGUACCUGAAACAAAUAACACCAAACACUGUAAGCACAAAGCUUAGUGAGUUCCCCAAAAUACCACACAUAGUACAUAUUAGCCACUCGAGGCUAUAACUAUGUGGGUCUGUGGACCCUACUCUGUGAAACCUCUGGUUCUAACUUUGUGAACCUUCCGGUUCCAACUCAGAUUACCUAAUCAAGGUAAAGUAUAUUGAGAAUACUCACCUCGGGUAUCUCAGUAAAUAUCUAUCUCGGAACAAAUGUGAUCUAGCCUCCUCCUAAUCACACAAAGUAACACACCCAUAAAUACACUGAACUCAACCCUAUAGGUCAGCAUGGUCAAUGGUCAACUUUGACCGGACUCGGCGAGUGCACUAGAGCGACUCGGCGAGUCUAUGCAUGUCCACUGAAUCCCUUGGAUCAUCUCUCGACACGUCGAGUACUUCCGUAACUCGACGAGUUCCACUUGGCAUGAAUCGCGGGUACACCACGACUCAAAUCGCCGAGUCUCAAGAACAACUUGGCGAGUUCCGGCUUCACUCAGCUCCCCCCCCCUUGACUCUCCCUGACUCACUGGGUCAUCCCCCUACCCAGCGAGUCUAUUCGCUAAACAAUUUAUGUGAAACCCAAACCCUACUCGCCGAGUCUCAAGAACAACUCGGCGAGUUCAUGCCAUGCACAAACUCUAUUGACCUUCUGUGGUCAGAUCUAUUUCCCCAAACCAUAGAUCUGGCCUUCCUAAGCAUGAAUGUCACGUAAAGUUCGAAACUUGAUGCUUGUAUAACCACAACAAGGCAUCAAAAGGAGAUUUGGUCCCAAAAAUGACAACCUAGGUCCAAUAACUCCAUACUAACCCAAAAAGCUCCAACGGUUAAGGUCUCUGGACCUCUUUGAGUCCAGAUCCAAGGCACAAACUCGAAGAGGGACCAUUUGCUCCACAUAAUCACUCUCCAAAGGGGUUAGAAAACCCUAACUCUAAAGAUCAACCCUAAAACUGAAGGAGGUUCGAACUAUUACCUCAAAAUGAAGUCUCUGGACUCUGGAUCUGCUUGAAUCUCACCUCCUCCUUGCUCUUGUCACCUUCUUCUUGCUAAACAAAGGAUACAAAGAUCCAAAAGUGACUUAUUCUCUCUCAAAGCGAUUUAGCUCUCUUAGGGUUCUCUCAAGGGGCUGGUAGCUGCAAUGGGAGGCUAUAAGUGCCCUUAAAUAGGCUCCAAACCCGGGGAAUUAGGGUUUCAUUAAACAGCAUGGACUCGCCGAGUCCAGACGCGAACCCGUGUCCAUAACCGCGAUCAUACUCGGCGAGUUUGAGGUCCAACUCGUCGAGUCUCCUCACAAAUCACCAAAAAAAUACAAGAAUAAAUAAUACCUAGGAAUCUGGGGUGUUACACCUAAGCCCAUAAGUCUUAUUGGUAUGUACUCGACCCGAGUGUAGCAUGGUCCAUUUGGGUUGCAUAUCAUCAGAACAAUUUGUUAGGAUGGACUUUUGAGAGAAGGUAAUUUAUGUUUUAUGAAUAUAUCAUAAGUUAUAAUAUAUUAAUAUGCAAUCAUAUGUUUUAAUUAGUAUUGAUCAAGAAUUAAUUUGGAAUUAAUUUAUUGAUCAAAGGAGACUAAUUAAAUCUACGGGCACUAAUUAUGAUAAUUAGUUAUAUUUAUAUGUGUUGGGCUUAUGAUCCAUGUUGGACCAAGUUUAUGUAUGGAUACAUAAAGAGUUGGGCCACAUGAACCAUGGAUCAUAAAAACCUAUGGUAUGACAACCCGAAACUUAUCCCGUUUCCAUUACGCGAUUCCGUUAAUAAAAAUUCAAAAUUUGUUAACUUUUUCGUCAAACACUUUGGUUUAUUAAAAUAAUCUAGUUAUAUUUAAUUAAAUUAUUUACUAAUCGGAACGAAAAAGCGCGUGGAAACCCAAAAAUCAGGAAAAAAAAUAAAACAUUUCUGGUCGAAGUGGGUUUACGACUGUAAACGUGUUUACGACCGUAAACUUGUUUACGACCGUAAACUCGUUUACGACCUGACGAGUGGACCCCUCACCUCACCCCUACAAAUGCGAUGCCUACGACUUCAUUAGGAUGAUUCUGGCCACACUCUCUCCUCCUCUCUCUAAGAAUCUCGACCGUAAACACUCAAAACGCAUUCAAACUCCGGAAAACAUUGACAAAACCACGUUUGGAGCCCUUUGGAACGCCUGGAAAGACUCAGCUCGUCGAAAUCAACAUCCAAGCAUCAUUUUUCCAAGUUUAUGGUCCAAACCUUAAAAGACCGUAAACUCGGUUCUUAAGUUUAUGGCCGUAAACUCGGCAAUCUGAAGAAACCGUAAACUCGCCAAUCUUCAGAAACUGUAAACUCACCAAUCUUCAGAAACCGUAAACUCGCCAACCUUCAGAGACCGUAAACACCUUUUUGGUGGUAUUUUGGCUGAGAACCCAUUUCUUCGAUUCAAGCAAGUCUCGGUAACAUUCGUCAACCGAAUUCAAGUGUUCUUAUGACACUUUAUUUAUCGAAAUCGCUAAUAUAGAUACAUAUACAUAUUUAUUUGAUAAUAGGAUUUCGUUAAGUGUCACGUGCAACAACUCGGGAACCUUCUUUUCAGUCAACAACUCCACACAACUAUUGUGAGUUCAUACCCUUACAUUUUUCGGUAUUUUAAAGUUUUUCAGGGGGGGAAUACAAGCUAAACAUAAAUGUUUUUCUUAUAAGCUAAACAUAAAUGUUUUUAGGAACAUACACAAAAACUUAUUCAAAUUUCAUACUUUAUUUCCCUUUUGCACUAUGUUGAGCAUAAGGAACAUUUUCAAAAAAAUUGCACAGUUUAUCCGGACACGUUAUUCGCUAAGUUAUACAUGCAAACUAUAAUCGGUAUAGUUUGGGAUUUCUCUAAAAACUUAUCAAGCAUAGGAACUUCUCUACUAAACGUAUGCACUGGAACAGAAACCGUUUACAGUUUAUAUCACUGUUUAAUCAUGAUUUUCAUAACUGUAACUUAUCAUUAUACAUGGUAUACAUUCGGAUUCUCACUACGGUAGAACGCUACUUCAUCACUUGUAAACUAGAUUGUACGAUACUAUUGGGCGCUACUUCACUACUAUACCCUUAGGUGUACAGGGAUAAAUCCAACCACUAUAUAACCAGAGUCUACUAGAGGGAGAGCGUGAGAUUUGUGAAUAGAUCUAUUCGGGACUGACAAUCCCACAUCUGGACUGCUAGCUACAGUUAGGCGGGCACGCCUGAGAUGUACUAAUGUCAUUUAACAUCAACGCCUGAAGAACGUUGGAAGGGUCACUAGUCAUAUCAAGCAUGGUUAUACGACUCACAUUAUGUGUAAAUCACCGAUAGUUUACCAACCUGGUUUUCUUCAGUACUUUUAUUUAUACCAAAUAGAACUAAACACACUAUGCAUACUGGCUGAGCCAGGGUUUUCAAAACCGAAUCAUCUAUGCUACGGUUUUACAUUUAAAUACGUAUACUUCAUAAAUAACUUUAGAUAGUCACAUGAAGUAGUAUUUUGCAUAUCUUUACGAUUUUUAGAAACGAACAUUCACGGUUGUAUACGAAAUCGAUCACACUAUGUUUUUCACUAAAGAAAAAAUCGGAUUUUCUUGAAACUACAUAAUCAUUUCGGCUCGCUCGUCAAUAAGUUUUCAUUACAAAUUACUGCUUAUGAACUCACCAGCUUUAUGCUGAUAUUUUCAAACUACUUGUAUUCUCAGGAAAUUAGUAGACAGGUACUUGCUGGAUUUUCGAGGAACCGAAGCGUUUAGAUUUUUUAAGUUUUUAAAUUGCAAAACUAUUGGAUGUAUUUCAAACUGAGUUACAAACAUAUGUAAUGUUCAAACUGAGUUUCAAACCCUGUAUUAACUAGUUUAGGUGCAAUGUAAUGUUCACUUGUACUUGAAUCUGUACGUAUGUCUUGUUGAAUAAAAACAACUGUUAUCCAAAAGAUAGUAAUGUAUAACCGCUGAAAUUGUGAAAUUGUAUAUAUUGAAACCCCAAACUAUACCUAUUAUACUUUGCAUGUGUGUUGAGUACCUGGUUCAUGUAUUAUUCUAAAAACUAUGCAAUUAUAGAUGUGAUUUGAAAACUUCCCUUAUGCUCAGCAUAAUACAAAAAGGAUAAUAUAUUUAAACAUUUUAUAAAAUGUGUUGAUCUUUUGGUUGUAUUUAAACGAUUUUCUAAACCAUAAUAAUUUAACGGAACAAAUAAAAUUCGGGAUUUUAUUUAACAUAAUUGAUUAACGUUGACGAAAAAAGGUUCAGGUUGUAACAUGCAUAAAUUUUACACCAAAUUUAAACUUUUUCAAUCAUAAAUAAAAAUCAAAUAGCAUUGUUUACAAAAGUGUUUUCAAAUCAAUAUCCAUCAGAGUAUCCCAAAAUCAUAACAUAAGGAUGAGGAGCGAUACGAUCACGCCUUCGCCUUUCCAUGAUCCCCCGAAGUACCUGAAACAAUAAACUGAAACUGUAAGCCCGAGGCAUUAGUGAGAUACCCCCAAAAUACCAAUACCACAGUGACAAUGCCGUAUCAAUAACAAUCAAUCAAUCAACAUGCAUACUGGUCCUUGUCCUGAAUGGACCGCCCUCCUGGGCCUACAGUCUAUCUGAAUCUAUCCUGAGCCUUCGGCAUGACUUGUCCGCCUCGUGGGCUUGUAGUCUCCCCGAACCACUCAUAGGGUAUGUUAGCCUUUAGCACAAUGUAGGACUGCCUCAACCCAACCAACAAGCAACUAACCAUGUGCGCAUAACUAUCAUAUACCGACAUAUAAAAACAUCAAACAUAUCUAUCACACUAAUCAUCAACCAUAGAAUUCUCUCAUAACUAGAGUACCGACCUAGCAUGUCCCUUACAUAUCAGUCCUUACGGAUCAUAUGAGCAUAACAUACUAUCUAGCCUGAUUCUGAUCUAACAGAUCAUAACCACAUGUAGCCUACCAUAACAUCAACAACUAAAGGGAUGGCCUUGGUGCCGUAGACCCUAUCGAUAUAGUGAGGAUAACUCACCUUGCAAAUGUCAACUCGGAAGAUAAACUCCAACCCUCAGAUCACUUGACACAUGCUCCACCACCUAUGAUCAUAGUACAAUAUACUCAUAAGUCCUUAAACUUAUAAGGUACUCCAUAACCCACCAGUCAACCCCUAGACAAAGUCAAAGUCCUCAGUCAAGAUUAACAGUCCAUGUUGACCCCAACUCGCCGAGUACCCUCGGCUACACGUCGCGUUCCUUGAAGGACAAUCCAACUUGCCGAGUUAUCAGGUGACUCGUCGAGUUUCUUCGAUUCUCAAUCAAACUUUAAGGCCACCCGUUGACUUCCAUCCUUGCAACUCAACGGAUACACACACAUACAUAUUCUAGGGAAAAAUCAUUUGACUCGCCGAGUUGUUCUUCAACUCAUCGAGUCUUAUGGUAAUCUUCAUCGGACUCGCCAAGUUGUUCAUCCAACUCGUCGAGUUCACGACAUCUUCAUGUGACUCGCCCAGUCAACCUUGCGACUCGUCGAGUCCAUUCAGUCCUCUUUCGAUACACACUUGUUUUGAGCAAUGCAGCGGCUCCAAAUCACAGAUCCAAGCUUCUAUGGAAUGCUUAUCACGUAAAGUUGCAAACUUUACGUGCAUGCAUGGCUAUAAAGGCUCUAAAUGCCUAUUUUAAGUUCUUAAUGGAACUUCAUGCUCAAGGGGGACCUUAAUCAUGACCAAAACUGAAACUUUAUACUUCUAGAGUCCAAGGAGGGUCCAGAUCUGAAGUUACAACCUUAGAUCUAGCCCAUAGCUCCUCUUUCCAACUUAUUAACUCACCAAAAACCCUAAAACUCAACAAAUAGAAGAGAUUCACAAGGAAAAGGCGAUGUGGUUACCUCCAGAAGAUGAUAAUUGAGGUAAAACUUGAUUCCCACACUCUACUUGCUCCAAUCUCUUUCUCCUCCAAGCCUUCUCUCUCUAAAGAUCCUCUUCUCAAGCUUCAAACACACAAUAGGCACACACACAUGCGUGUUAGGGUUUUAAGGGGCUCUUAAAGACUGCAAAGAGGGCAAAGGAGGCUAAGGCUCCUUUAAAUAGAGGUGCAAACCCCAUGAUUUAGGGUUUCAUCUGCCAGCUACUACUCGCCGAGUCCUAAUAUGGACUCGUCGAGUAGGUCACUUAACACGCGAUCCCACCCCGCUGCUACUCGACGAGUAGAUCAACCAACUCGUCAAGUAAACCUUAACCCAAUAAUAAAAAAUACAUGAGAAUCGGGGUGUUACAACUCUCCCCCACUUGAACUAGACUUCGCCCUCGAUGUCCGCUGGAAUAAACAAUGUCGGGUAAUGCUCGCACAUCUCCGCCUACGGCUCCCAUGUCUACUCGGAUCCCUUCUGAUGUUCCCACCGUACCUUUACUAAAGGUAUUUCCUUGUUCCGCAGAAUCUUCAUCUUCCUUUCCAAAAUAGCCACAUGCCUCUCCACAUAGUUCAGGCGCUCAUCGACUUGAAUGUCAUCCAACAAUACCACUGCCUCCUGGUCAAUAUUGCAUUUUCACAAUUGCGAAACAUGAAAUGUGUUGUGGAUCCGGCUAAACUCCUCCGGAAGCUCUAGCCUAUAAGCCACCCUGCCAACCCUGGCAAUAAUCCUGAACAAACCAAUAUAACGAGGUAUCAAUUUUCCCCUCUUCCAGAAGCGGAUCACGCCCUUCCAGGGUGAGACCUUCAUGAGAACCAUGUCACCCACCUGAAAUUCCAGCUCAAAUCUGUCACACCCCAAAACCACAAACGGCGGAAACGUUCCGGGGUGGAGGACGUAAUGUACAGUAUCACAAUAGUGUAAAAUAGUAAACAAGCAACAACAUCAUCCAUUGCAUUAUAAGUAAAGUUUUAAGACAUGUGUUCAUUCAUCGUAAUAAGACACCAAAAGUAUAUAAUCAAUAUAAAAGACAAGACUUGUCUGCUCCGUCUUCUCAAAACCUGUCCACCAUACCUGUCUACUGAUGACCUGAGAAUACAAGUUAUUUUGAAAGAGAGUAUCAACUUUAAAGCUGGUGAAUUCAUAAGUAUUUAAGUGUCAUUGUCUUGCAUUGAAAAGCUGUUUUAAAAGUCAUGUAAACCAUUAAAUGAAAAUGUUGAUAUAAGUAUGAAAAACCCUAAGAAAUCCCUUAUUUCCUACUAGUAUGAAAUGUAGUCUUCUACCAGGACCCGAAUGUUUUGUUAUGGCAAUGUAGUCUUCUACCAAGACCCGAAUGUUUUGUUAGUAAAAAUGAUAGUUUUUCCUUUCUAUGGACUAGUACUAAAAGUACUUAGUCUAACUCCUCGUUUAUGUGAAUGUAUCACAAAAUAAAGUAAAUAGGAAAAUGUACUAAUUUAAGUGUUAUCCCUGGAUUACCAGGAUUAACACGACAUCACCGAAGCGAAAGGGUAUAACCUAAUGAACAUCCGAAGAUUGUCCAAUUAACCUCUGUAGCGAACACAAGGUUCCAGGAAUGGUUAGUCCCGUAGCUAGCUCUAUAAUGCUGUAUGAGAAAUAGAUAACCUAAUGAACAUCCAAAGAUUUUCCAAUUAACCUCUGUAGCGAACAGUAGGUUCCAGGAAUGGGUAAUCCCGUAACUGUCUCCUAAUAUAAGUAAUAACCUUAGGCAUCCGUAGAUGUCCAUUAACCUCUGUAGCAAACAGUGGUUCCAGGAAUGGUUAGUCCCGUAACUGACUCUAUAUUACUUUAAGUGAAGUAAAUAACCUAAUGAACAUCCGAAGAUUGUCCAAUUAACCUCUGUAGCGAACAGUAGGUUCUAGGAAUGGUUAAUCCCGUAACUGACUCCCGUUGAACUAGGAUGGGCUGGAUGAUUUACUAAAGGUACUAAUAAAUCAUGUUUACGAAUCGAGUUUCAAGUAUUCAUGUAAGUAUACACAGGUACAUGUAUCUACGUAAAGGUAUUUAUGUAAGGUGUUCAUGUAAGCGUAUUAAUGUAUCAUGUAAGCAUAUGUAAUGGUACUCAUGUAUCAGGUAAUGUACUCGUAAAGUCUCAUGAAUGAACUGACUCUUGUGUGAUUCCUUAUAAUAGGAAUAAUGUUUGAUAUCUUCUAACUAUCCCUACGAUAGUUAACUGAAAGGUAAUUGGUUGUUCAAGUAGGUUUGUACACCCUUACUACACAAGAGUGUGAGAAGCUAAAUGAAAGACGAAAACUAUAACAUCAAUACAUAUAUAAGAAUAUAAGUGGAUAUGCAUAGUUUAGUUCAAGAAUGUAAAAUGGUUUUGUAAGAUAUCUAAGGGUUUUGAACAAAUAUAAAAGUGACUUGAUGUCAUUUUGAUAAACAUUUCAAAAGUAAUACAUUUGAUAACAAAGUAUUUUAAAGAUAGAAAACCAUUUCAUGCAUCACAUUUUGUAGUAUGUGAAAUCUGUUGAAUGAAAACACAGUUAUAAAAUACAUAUAAAUGAUUUAAUAACAUGUUGUUUUCUACUUGUAUUCCCCCCCCCCCCACCCCCCCCCAUUAAAGCAUUUAAAAUCAUUUAAAACAUUGAUUAGGAGUAUGAACUCACAUGUAGAUGGUGGUUUGGAUGAACUGGACGGUGUAGGAUUGUUAGGUGUCAAAUGAGGACUUGUACACACACUACGAUCCUAAUGAACAUAUAAUCACACCUAUAUGCACCCAAUUAGUCUUAAAUUACUAAUUGAUAAUGUUAAGACAUCCUAGAACAUAAUAAACACUUUAUAUAAGUGUUAUAAGCCCUAAGGAUUGCAUCUAAGCUAUUGUGGGACAAGGCACUUAGGGUUAGGGUUCCAAAGGACUCUAUACAUGAGUUUACUCUCCAUAUAGCAUCACAAAUGGUGUUUAUGGUUGUAAACUCUUGAUUUUACGGCCGUGAACUCCCAAUCUUGGUGAUAUUUUGUGUUUUGAAGUUCUAAAUGAUCCCUAGAAUUAUUCCAACUUGGUGGUUUAAUUCUUGGAAGGGUUUAAGGCAUAAAAACACCCCUUUGAGGAGUUUACGGCCUUAAGGCCAUUUCCUUUAGAGUUUGCGGCCGUAAACUCUUAAGAAUGGGUGUUUUUGAUGCUUUCAAGUCUCAUACACAUGUAGUAUAGGUCUUAAACUUUUAUCCCAAGCAUAUGAAGGCCUUAGGCACACUUUGGUGCCCUUCUUUGAUGUUCACGGCCCAAGAACCUUAUUAGGGCCGUGAACUCACUUUGAGGGGUGAUUUUGAUGUGUUUUGGUCCUUGAUUUAAGUGGAAACAAUUCCUAGUAAAUGUCUAAGGCUUUAGGUGCCUUAAAAGCACCCUUUUGUCCAUGAUUUUGGAGUUCACGGUCCAAGAUCUUCUUGGGCCGUGAACACCCAAACUUGGGUGAUUCUUUGAUGUUUUCUUGUCCCUAAUACACUUCUAUACAAGUCCAAGGUAGUAUCAUAUCACAAGGGAAGGUCUAGGCAUUGUUUCGGGAGUUUACCGCCCAAGAACACCUUGGGGAGUAAACUCCUAAAUCUAGUGAUUUAGCUAUCUAAAUCAUGUUAUAAACACAUAAUAAGCUUUCUAACACUACUAGAGAGAGUUACUCACGUUUUGGUAUAAAAACCCAAAGAUCCGUGUGAGAUAAAAUGGGUUUUCUCUAGUUGGAAAUGCGAAUAAUGAAUGAAAUUGGUUCAGAAUUCUAUUUAUAGUCCUGAGAUAUUUUUGGCAGAAAAUAUUUUUAUUCCUGAAAUGAUUUCUCAUAUAACAGAGUGUUGGAAUAACAGUNCACUAAACCCUAGUGCAUGCACUCUCCUGAUAUUUCCUGAAGUGCAAACCCUGAAUUACUCAAACUUACACGAAAAAGUCUAACAAUUAACUGUGACUUCUAUAACUUCUAUUGAAGUGAUAUAGUUUGUACAGAAUGGAAAUUUCGGGUUGUGACAUCAUCCCCCCGUUAGAAGGAAUUUCGUCCCGAAAUUAGAAUUUAAGCAAUUAAGAAGUUAUAAAUAACUAAGCGAAAAGGUGAGGGUAUUUCGGAUUCUUCUGAUCCUCUCGUUCCCAAGUGAAUUCAGGUCCACGCUUUGCGUUCCAGCGCACCUUCACUAUCGGGAUACGGCUCUGCUUUGUUUGCUUGACCUCUCGGUCCAUGAUCUCUACUGGUUCCUCCACAAAGUUGAGGCUCUCGUUGAUCUCGAUCUCGUCGAGUGGAAUAACAAGAGUCUCGUUGGAUAGAUACUUUUUCAAGUUCGAUACGUGGAAGGUAGGAUGUACCACUACUAGAGAACAGCCCUUUAAUGACGCGCAAACAAUGACAAGCAGUCAUCUACAAUACGCAAAAGUGUGUGCCCUAAAAAUAAUGUCAUCUCUUAUAAAAUUUGAAGGAUAGAGGACACGCAUUUGUGCAUACCCUAAAAUUUGUGUCAGAAAAGAAAAAAAAAGAAAUACAGAAGACGCCUAUCAUAAAAUGUGUGUCGUGUAAGUGUGUCGCUUUAUAUUUUUUUUAAUGAAACAUGCCUUUUAAGUGGGAAAUGAAAUCCCCAAAAAUUAGAACCCCGCCUAUUUCUUGUGAAAAAUUAAAACCUUCUUCCAAUUAGAAAGAAAGUAGCGCGCCUAGGGUUUUUGUCUUCUCUCUCUCUCUCUCUCCCUCUCUCUCUCUCUAGCCUAAAACCCAACCUACGAUUUCAAGAAAGACCUCAAGCUCAACCACUCCCUCUUCAGUUCUUCACCAUUCCUGUAUGACUCGUACCGAGUCUGGACUCUAUGUAUCUGGAAAACAAAAACAAGUAAAAGACUCUAAAACGCCUCCCUUUCUUCCACUCCCCCAUAUGUGAACCAGACCAGAUGAUGCGAUGACACCAUCUCCUGCCAGACUUUCAUCUCCGACAUAGAUGCAGCCGUCGAUUCCACUCCAGCCGACGAUUCCAUCACAGGUAAGAUUUUUGAUUUCCAUCAUAGCUUUGGUUUUUGAACCAUAAUUUUCCUAGUUCGAUUUUUUGAACGAGUUUACUUCUAUUCUAUUGCACCUUAGGGUUCGAUUUGUUGUAUUUAAUUAGUUACAAGAAGGUUACUCCAUUUAGGGUUUGUCUGGGAGAACUGCCUCCUCGUUCGUUUGAUGGUGCGAUAGCAACUGAAGUGGAUUCUGGCUCUUCGCCCUCGAAGCGUGAAUUGAAAUUGGAAAAGUUAAACUCCCUGAUUCAAUCCCCUGAAAUGAUUGUUCAAGGUAAGGUAGCUAAACCUUUAUUUAAUUAACUUUCCUGCCCUUUCUCCUAGCAUUUCGAAAAUCAAUUUAGCAAAUGAAAUGGAUAUUGUUUUGCACCAUAUAACUGAUCCUAAUCAAAAAUAUGAAUUCAAUAAAUGAUGGAAUGGGUUGCUGAUGGUGCCAAGAUAGAGUAUGGCUCGGAAAUUAAAAUAAAAAUAGAAAUAAAAGAGGAAUCGGCCUCAAAUCCUCUUAUUAUCAUAAUUUUCAUGUGGGAAUUGCAUACAGGGUCAAGGUUAAUCAUGAAAAAAGUUUUGAAAGUCAGUGUUUUCCCCUAAAUCUAAAGCAGGACCUGCUGUCAAGAUUAUAUCAGUUGCCAGGUGAAAUAUUGUUUUUCUUUUUGUUCACUUUGCUUUUUGAAAAAAAAUCUUNUAUUAUAUUCAUUUUUUUCUUUGUAUUAGAAACUUCUAUUCCAAGCUAGACUGGGUGAAAUUGAAAUAUUAUCUCCAUUUGAGUUUGUUGAUCAUUUAGACAGUGUCCAAAAUCCAUUAGCAUUUUCAAUUUACAACUUCUAUGUUCUUAUCGAGACAACAGGAAGCAAUGAAUCUAAUGACAAUUAACUAAAUUUUUUCUAUUUUACUUUACCUAUUUAUAUAUUUAUGUAUAAUAAUAAUUAUAUAUAAUAUCUAUCUGAAUUUUGUAGAGAGAAUGUUAAAGGUUUUCUUGUGGAUGCAAUGAAAAGUGGUUUAGUAAGUGAUGGAGCCAUAUCACAUGAUUUGAAUCAAACAUCAUCAUUUUGGCAAAUUCGUGAGGGAAUUCCAGAAGCAUUGCAGAAAGCUAGAGUUGUAUAUAAAUAUGAUUUGUCAAUUCUAGUUAAGAAAAUGUAUGAUCUUGUUGAAGAAAUGAGGAUACUUUUUAGUUAAAAGUUAAACUUUUUUUUUGAUGAAAAUUAUUUCAAUUUGUUAUGAUUUGCUAAUUUUGGUUUAAAAAAAGAAAAACAGGUGGUAAAGCAAAUGUAGUGGGAUAUGGUCACCUUGGAGAUGGAAACCUUCAUUUGAAUGUGUCGGGCUCCCAGUAUGAUGAUGUUGUAAGAUUUUUUAUUUUAUUUUUCAAAAAUAUGAAAUCAAAUUUUUUGCUAAUUGUUACAAUAAAAAAAAAUACAGAUUUUGGUUGAAACUGAACCAUUUGUGUAUGAAUGGACAUCAAAGCAGUAUGCGAGUAUUAGUGCUGAACAUGGAUUAGGUCUUAUGAAAGCUAAAAAGAUUUACUAUAGUAAGUCAACUGCAACUAACUGUAUGUCUACUUUUGUAUUAUUAUUAUUAUUAUUAUUAUUAUUAUUAUUAUUAUUAUUACCUUUUAGUCUUUCACUAAGGUCUUGUUUUUGUUUUACUUAAUGGACUUAAUAGUUCAAGGCCUAAUAGAUACAAAUAUAUAGAUUAGUUUUUUUUUUUUUUUUUUUNNNNNNNNNNNNNNNNNNNNNNNNNNNNNNNNNNNNNNNNNNNNNNNNNNNNNNNNNNNNNNNNNNNNNNNNNNNNNNNNNNNNNNNNNNNNNNNNNNNNNNNNNNNNNNNNNNNNNNNNNNNNNNNNNNNNNNNNNNNNNNNNNNNNNNNNNNNNNNNNNNNNNNNNNNNNNNNNNNNNNNNNNNNNNNNNNNNNNNNNNNNNNNNNNNNNNNNNNNNNNNNNNNNNNNNNNNNNNNNNNNNNNNNNNNNNNNNNNNNNNNNNNNNNNNNNNNNNNNNNNNNNNNNNNNNNNNNNNNNNNNNNNNNNNNNNNNNNNNNNNNNNNNNNNNNNNNNNNNNNNNNNNNNNNNNNNNNNNNNNNNNNNNNNNNNNNNNNNNNNNNNNNNNNNNNNNNNNNNNNNNNNNNNNNNNNNNNNNNNNNNNNNNNNNNNNNNNNNNNNNNNNNNNNNNNNNNNNNNNNNNNNNNNNNNNNNNNNNNNNNNNNNNNNNNNNNNNNNNNNNNNNNNNNNNNNNNNNNNNNNNNNNNNNNNNNNNNNNNNNNNNNNNNNNNNNNNNNNNNNNNNNNNNNNNNNNNNNNNNNNNNNNNNNNNNNNNNNNNNNNNNNNNNNNNNNNNNNNNNNNNNNNNNNNNNNNNNNNNNNNNNNNNNNNNNNNNNNNNNNNNNNNNNNNNNNNNNNNNNNNNNNNNNNNNNNNNNNNNNNNNNNNNNNNNNNNNNNNNNNNNNNNNNNNNNNNNNNNNNNNNNNNNNNNNNNNNNNNNNNNNNNNNNNNNNNNNNNNNNNNNNNNNNNNNNNNNNNNNNNNNNNNNNNNNNNNNNNNNNNNNNNNNNNNNNNNNNNNNNNNNNNNNNNNNNNNNNNNNNNNNNNNNNNNNNNNNNNNNNNNNNNNNNNNNNNNNNNNNNNNNNNNNNNNNNNNNNNNNNNNNNNNNNNNNNNNNNNNNNNNNNNNNNNNNNNNNNNNNNNNNNNNNNNNNNNNNNNNNNNNNNNNNNNNNNNNNNNNNNNNNNNNNNNNNNNNNNNNNNNNNNNNNNNNNNNNNNNNNNNNNNNNNNNNNNNNNNNNNNNNNNNNNNNNNNNNNNNNNNNNNNNNNNNNNNNNNNNNNNNNNNNNNNNNNNNNNNNNNNNNNNNNNNNNNNNNNNNNNNNNNNNNNNNNNNNNNNNNNNNNNNNNNNNNNNNNNNNNNNNNNNNNNNNNNNNNNNNNNNNNNNNNNNNNNNNNNNNNNNNNNNNNNNNNNNNNNNNNNNNNNNNNNNNNNNNNNNNNNNNNNNNNNNNNNNNNNNNNNNNNNNNNNNNNNNNNNNNNNNNNNNNNNNNNNNNNNNNNNNNNNNNNNNNNNNNNNNNNNNNNNNNNNNNNNNNNNNNNNNNNNNNNNNNNNNNNNNNNNNNNNNNNNNNNNNNNNNNNNNNNNNNNNNNNNNNNNNNNNNNNNNNNNNNNNNNNNNNNNNNNNNNNNNNNNNNNNNNNNNNNNNNNNNNNNNNNNNNNNNNNNNNNNNNNNNNNNNNNNNNNNNNNNNNNNNNNNNNNNNNNNNNNNNNNNNNNNNNNNNNNNNNNNNNNNNNNNNNNNNNNNNNNNNNNNNNNNNNNNNNNNNNNNNNNNNNNNNNNNNNNNNNNNNNNNNNNNNNNNNNNNNNNNNNNNNNNNNNNNNNNNNNNNNNNNNNNNNNNNNNNNNNNNNNNNNNNNNNNNNNNNNNNNNNNNNNNNNNNNNNNNNNNNNNNNNNNNNNNNNNNNNNNNNNNNNNNNNNNNNNNNNNNNNNNNNNNNNNNNNNNNNNNNNNNNNNNNNNNNNNNNNNNNNNNNNNNNNNNNNNNNNNNNNNNNNNNNNNNNNNNNNNNNNNNNNNNNNNNNNNNNNNNNNNNNNNNNNNNNNNNNNNNNNNNNNNNNNNNNNNNNNNNNNNNNNNNNNNNNNNNNNNNNNNNNNNNNNNNNNNNNNNNNNNNNNNNNNNNNNNNNNNNNNNNNNNNNNNNNNNNNNNNNNNNNNNNNNNNNNNNNNNNNNNNNNNNNNNNNNNNNNNNNNNNNNNNNNNNNNNNNNNNNNNNNNNNNNNNNNNNNNNNNNNNNNNNNNNNNNNNNNNNNNNNNNNNNNNNNNNNNNNNNNNNNNNNNNNNNNNNNNNNNNNNNNNNNNNNNNNNNNNNNNNNNNNNNNNNNNNNNNNNNNNNNNNNNNNNNNNNNNNNNNNNNNNNNNNNNNNNNNNNNNNNNNNNNNNNNNNNNNNNNNNNNNNNNNNNNNNNNNNNNNNNNNNNNNNNNNNNNNNNNNNNNNNNNNNNNNNNNNNNNNNNNNNNNNNNNNNNNNNNNNNNNNNNNNNNNNNNNNNNNUUAACUGUGACUGCUAUAACUUCUAUUGAAGUGAUAUAGUUUGUACAGAAUGGAAAUUUCGGGUUGUCACAUCAUCCCCCCGUUAGAAGGAAUUUCGUCCCGAAAUUAGAAUUUAAGCAAAUAAGAAGUUACAAAUAACUAAGCGAAAAGGUGAGGGUAUUUCAGUUUCAUCUGAUCCUCACGUUCCCAAGUGAAUUCCGGUCCACGCUUUGCGUUCCAGCGCACCUUCACUAUCGGGAUACGGCUCUGCUUUGUUUGCUUGACCUCUCGGUCCAUGAUCUCUACUGGUUCCUCCACGAAGUUGAGGCUCUCGUUGAUCUCGAUCUCGUCGAGUGGAAUAACAAGAGUCUCGUCGGAUAGACACUUUUUCAAGUUUGACACGUGGAAGGUAGGAUGUACGUUACUGAGUUCUUGCGGUAGAUUGAGUUUUUAAGCUACAGGGCCGAUUCUCGCGAGAAUCUCGAAAGGCCCUAUGUAUCUUUAAUUGAGCUUCCCACGCUUUCCAAAGCGUAUCAAGCCCUUCCAGGGUGAGACCUUCAGUAGGACUCGGUCGCCCACCUGGAAUUCCAACGGUUUCCUUCGCUUGUCAACGCAGCUUUUCUAUCGGUCUCUGGAGGCUUUCAAUCGUUCACGAAUUUGAACGAUCUUCUCUGUCGUUUCCCGAAUGAUCUCCGGACCCGUGAGAGUGCUUUCGGGAACUCGUCCCAUAGCUAACUGGGUAUCACCCACCUCAGCCCAGCACAGAGGGGAUCUGCACUUUCGGCCAUAGAGGGCCUCGAAUGGAGCUGCCUUUAUGCUAGUGUGAUAACUGUUGUUGUAGGAAAAUUCAACAAGGGGUAAAUGAAUAUCCCAAGCUUUUCCAAAGUCAAUCACACAGGCACGCAACAUAUCUUCUAAGGUUUGGAUAGUUCUCUCACUUUGCCCGUCGGUCUGUGGAUGGUAGGCUGUACUCAUGUCCAGCCUAGUUCCUAGGGAAUUUCGUAAUGACUGCCAGAACCUUGAUGUGAAUCUACUAUCUCUGUCUGAGAUAAUAGAAAAAGGAACACCAAGGAACUUUACAAUUUCCCUAAUGUAAGUUCUUGUAAGUUUCUCCAUCUUGUCUGUUUCUUUGAUCGGCAGGAAGUGUGCAGACUUGGUCAGUCUAUCGACGAUGACCCAUAUGGAAUCAAGUCCACCCGUCGUCUUGAGCAACUUGGUUAUGAAGUCCAUAGUGAUCCGCUCCCACUUCCAUUCUGGUAUCAUCGGCUGCUGUAGGCGACCAGAGGGUUUCUGGUGUUCGACCUUCACCUUCGCGCAAGUAAGGCACUUACUUACGAAGUUAGCAAUAUCUGCUUUCAUGAUAGGCCACCAGUAUAACAUUUUAAGAUCCAGAUACAUCUUAUCUGAACCCGGGUGGACGGAAUAACGAGUGUUCUGAGCUUCCGUCAUGACCAAGUCUCUGAAGCCACCGUGUCUCGGUGUCCAGAUCCGAUCCAUGAGGUAUAAGGCUCCACCACCCUUGACUUCUAAGUUCUUAUCCAUCCCUCUAAGGGAUUCACCAGACACGUUUUUAGGUUUCAAAGCGUCGAGCUGAGCCUCCUUAAGUUGCAUGGACAAGUGUGAAUGGAUAGUUAGAGUCAGAGAUUUGACUCUAUGACCAGUAUAUUCUUUCUGACUCAGGGCGUCUGCUACUACAUUAGCUUUACCCGGAUGAUAACGAAUUUCGCACUCGUAAUCACUUAGUAGCUCUACCCACCGUUGUUGUCUCAUGUUGAGCUCUUUCUAGUCGAAGAUUUGUUGUAGACUCUUGUGGUCUGUAAAGAUUGUGCUUUUUGUACCAUACAGGUAGUGUCUCCAGAUCUUCAGAUCAAAUACGACUGCUCCUAGUUCAAGAUCAUGGUUGAUGUAGUUAACCUCAUGUGUCUUCCGCUGUCUCAAGGUAUAGGCUAUGACUUUACCUCGCUGCAUCAGAACACAUCCGAGUCCUCGAUUUGAUGCAUCGCAAUAGACCACGAAGGCUUCUAUCCCUUCGGGGAGGGAUAGUAUCGGUGCGGUGCACAAGGCUCGUUUGAGCGUUUGGAAUGCUCUUUCUUGUUUCUCUUCCCAGUCAAAGGCUACGCUUUUCUGGGUCAGGGUUGUAAGAGGUUUUGCUAUGCGGGAGAAAUUCUGAAUGAACCUGCGAUAGUAGUCAGCCAGACCUAGAAAUUGGCAAAUUUUUGUAGGUGUCUUCGGUGCUGACCAGUUCUCGAUGGCCUUAAUUUUGGAAGGGUCCACAUGUAUUCCCUCUUCACUAACAACAUGGCCCAAAAAUUCGACUCGCCGAAUCCAAAAUUCGCACUUGGAGAACUUCGCGUAGAGCUUCUCCGACCGCAAUGUUUCUAAGACUCUACGGAGAUGCUGACUAUGCUCCUCCUUACUUCGAGAGUAGAUGAGUAUGUCAUCGAUGAAGACGAUGACGAACUGAUCCAAGUAAGGACGACACACCCUAUUCAUCAGAUCCAUGAACACGGCAGGCGCGUCAGUUAAUCCGAACGGCAUCACUACAAACUCAUAGUGCCCAUAACGAGUUCGAAAGGCUGUCUUGGGAACAUCCUUCUCUAACACUCGUAGUUGGUGAUAUACGGAUCGUAGAUCUAUCAACGAGAAGUAGUUGGCUCCUUGAAGUUGAUCUAAUAAAUCAUCAAUGAUGGGCAAAGGAUAACGAUUUUUAAUUGUAAGUUUGUUGAGUUCUCUAUAGUCGAUGCACAUGCAAAACGAUCCAUCCUUCUUCUUGACGAACAAGAUCGGUGCCCCCCAUGGUGAGAAGCUUGGUCUAAUGAAUCCCUUCUUGAGAAGUUCGUUAAGUUGACUGGAAAGUUCAUGCAUCUCGGCCGGUGCUAGACGAUAAGGAGAUUUGGCUACGGGGAUAGCUCCUGGCACUAAGUCGAUUCUGAACUCGACUUGGUGUUGCGGUGGUAAACCGGGAAGUUCUUCUGGGAAGAUAUCGGGAAAGUCGCGUACUUCUGGGAUGUUCUGAAUGUUUUUCGUUUCUUGACUUGUAUCAAUGACGUGUGCGAUGAAUGCAUGGUACUCCUUUCGCAAGCACUUCUGGGCUUGAAUGCACGAAAUGAUGUGAAGGCUCGUACUAGGUUUGUCGCCAUAGAUAAUUAAGGUUUCGUUGUUAGGAAGGUUAAGACGAACUGCUUUUUCAAAGCACAAGAUGUCGGCGCGAAGAGGACUCAACCAAUCCAUACCGCUGAUAACGUCAAAACAUUUAAUUGGGACCGGCUUGAGAUCUAUCUUGAAAGUAUGGCUAUCUAAAGUUAAGGUACAACCUAUGUAUAUGCAGUUAGUACUCUCCGUUUUCCCGUUAGCCAUUUCUACCGUGAAUGAAUUAUCUAAUGCACAUGGUUUUUGUUUAAGCAAGUAUGCAAAUUUGUGACUUACGAAACUUCUCUCUGCUCCACUGUCGAAAAGUAUGGAAGCAUAUGAGUUAUCUAGGAGGAACAUAGUAGUACCUAUCGUAGAAUCAGCUACUGCUUCCUCGUGGCCUAGGGCCAUAACUCUUCCUACCCCGCCAGCCAUCCCCGCUUUAGGGCAGUUCCUCUUGUAGUGGCCCACUUCGCCACAACCAUAGCAAGCUUGGCGCAUACUGCCGUUAGGAACCUAGGUGGCCUGAGCUGUUGGCAUUCCGCAGACACGGGCGGUAUGCCCCAUUCUCUUGCAGUUAGAACACUGCAUCUCUUUGUAAGGUCCGUGGUGGUGGAAGUUGCACUUGGUGCACUUCGGAAGGGUUCCAGCAUAUGUUUUUGCUCGUAAGGGGUUCGCAGGGACAACAGGAGUUACUGUGGCAGCAUUGAUUGCCACAAGUUGUUGUCUCUUGGAGGAUUCUUGCGAAGCGCCUCUUUUCCUCUUAGACCACACUUUCUUGUUGUUGUUGGCCUUGGGUGGUACAGGUGCAGGGAUUGUUGGGUUCUGAGGUUUCCUGUGAUCUAUGAGAGAUUGUGCCAGUUCCUUGGCACUAUCAAAAGUGAUAGGCCUAGAGGCUAACACACUUGACUGGACCUGAGGCGACAAUCCCCAGAUAUACCUCUCUAUCUUCUUGCUCUCGAGAGCAACCAUAUCGGGGCAUAGGUUUGCCAGAUCACAUAACCUAUUUGUGUAGAUUGUGAUGUCGGAUCCAACCAUUUGUAGACCCCAGAAUUCCUGCUCGAGUUUUUGUACUACACCUUGAGGACAGUACUCUUUCAUCAGCAUGUCCUAUAAUUUUUCCCAGCUGAUGGAAUACGCCACCACCAAAGUCAGAUACUUAACAUGGCUGUUCCACCAUGUUAGUGCUCUAUCAGAGAAGGUACAAGCUGCAAACUUGACCUUGUUGCCCUCCUAGCAAGUGCAGAUUUCAAAGACGGAUUCCAUCUUUUAAAUCCAUUGUCUCAACACCUUACCACCCCCAGUUCCAUUGAAGCUGCGGGGUUUGGCGUUCGUGAAGUCCUUGUAGGUGCAUUCCCGAGGGUGUCCAUGGCUUUCGCUGUGGUUCGAGGGAGGUACACCUGUUCCCGAUCCACUAGGGACAGGGGUGUUGAUUGCUGACACAGCAACUGCAACUGCAGCUGUGAAAGCUGCCUGGAACAUGUUGGCAUCGAAAGGGUUAGGUGGUUGAAGAGGUUGUGGUGGUGGUGGAGGUGCUGGUAUCGGUGCUUCGUUGUUUGGGUUACGCCUGGUAUUUCUGUGUGGCGGCAUCUUUAACUAUACGUUUAAAAGAUGAUGACAUAGAUAAGGAUAAAUGAUUAACGAAUGUGUCUCAUGGACUAACUCCCCAUAGUCCAACAACAGAAUGAAUAGAAUGACUAAAUGAAGAUGACAACAUUUGGAUAAUGAUUUCCAUAAGAUUAGAUAUCUGUCAAUAAUACUGGAAUUACAGAUGUAACAAGUUCGGGAAAAAUGGCCUAGAAGUAGGCCUUACAUCGACCAAGAUAGGAAAAUUUUGACAGAACUAUGACUAGAUCAAGACCUAACAGGUCUAAGAUUUAUAAAGAUAGGAAAUUAGACCAAAGUUUUUACAUAAACUAGGUUAUAUCCAAACGAUGAGUCGACAAGAUUCUAUCGGUGACGAGAACUGCUAGCAUGAGUUCUUGAUCCCGAUAGUAGACGUUCCAUGUCCCUCAUACACCUGUCGGCUCUCACUUGCUGAGCUCGAAGUUCCCUAACUUCAGCUUGAGUUUUAGCAAGUUCCCUCUGCAGAUUUGCAUUGCGGACCAGAGUCUUUUCAUGAGCAGACUCUAGUUGGAGAAUGUGGACAGUGUUAACGCCAGAGUUGGCUUCAAUCUCUACGACCCAGUUAAUAGUUGCUUGACCCAGUAUCGUGUUUCGGGAAAUUCUACGCACCAUUAUUGGUAGGACUCUAUCAGCAGAACCUCCUUCAGUGAGGUUGUAGAAACUUCGGUCUCCAUUGUAGGGAAUGGGCUGACCUUGAUCCUGACUCCAUGUAUUCAAGUUCGUGGCCCACAGAGGUGUGGGUCCUUGAAACACAGGACUGGGGUUCAGGUUUGGGUUUUGAGCAUCUGGAAGUAGGUUGUUCACUUCAGGCUCCGAGUCAGAACCAUCGGAAAAACCCUCAGCAUGGUGAUCAUCCAAAGGGAUUUGGUGAUCAUCUUCUGGUUCUGCCUCUAGCCAACCAGCAUUGCCAUGGUUUGGGAAGUAUGGAUCGCCAUGGUGAAAUCCAACCAUUUUAAUCUACACGAGAAAAGGGAUAUAAGAAAUGGCUAAAUAGACGAACUGACUAAGAUAAUUACAGUAAGACCAAAUACCCCUAUGGUAUUUCAUUAUGGUUGUGUUGGUAAGUUUUUAGACCUGUUGCCAUAUCACAACCAUUCUUGGGCAUAUGCUAAUCACUCCUCGGACCAGCAUAGUUGAUCAGGCUAUGCCAUUCCGAAGACUGACUAUAUAUCCCCAGGCUUACUUGUGAUAUUCAACAAUCGUAAUACUUUUGUUCAUGUCAUUGCAACACUGGUUUUUGUAUGAAUGCCGGCACGUAUACUUUGUUAAAUAUUUUAUUAUUUAAAAGUAUAACUCUUAGACAGAGUGUUUUAAUCCCUAUGUAUUUAUAGUUAGUAUAUAUUUUAUGGGUUGAUAUACUUUAUUCACUAUAAACAAUGCUCUGAUACCAAUCUGUCACACCCCAAAACCACGAAUGGCGGAAACGUUCUGGGGUGGAGGACGUCAUGUACAGUAUCACAACAGUGUAAAAUAGUAAACAAGCAACAACAUCAUCCAUUGCAUUAUAAGUAAAGUUUUAAUACAUGUGUUCUUUCAUUGUAAUCAGACACCAAAAAUAUAUAAUCAAAAUAUAAGAUGAGACUUGUCUGCUCCGUCUUCUCAAAACCUGGCCACCGUACCUGUCUACUGAUGACCUGAGAAUACAAGUUAUUUUGAAAGAGAGUAUCAGCUUUAAAGCUGGUGAAUUCAUAAGUAUUUAAGUGUCAUUGUCUUGCUUUGAAAAGCUGUUUUAAAAGUCAUGUACAGACACCAAAAAUAUAUAAUCAAAAUAUAAGAUGAGACUUGUCUGCUCCGUCUUCUCAAAACCUGGCCACCGUACCUGUCUACUGAUGACCUGAGAAUACAAGUUAUUUUGAAAGAGAGUAUCAGCUUUAAAGCUGGUGAAUUCAUAAGUAUUUAAGUGUCAUUGUCUUGCUUUGAAAAGCUGUUUUAAAAGUCAUGUAAACCUUUAAAUGAAAAUGUUGAUAUAAGUAUGAAAAACCCUAAGAAAUCCAUUAUAUCCUACUAGUAUGAAAUUUAGUCUUCUACCAAGACCCGAAUGUUUUGUUAUGACAAUGUAAUCUUCUACCAAGACCCGAAUGUUUUCUUAGUAAAAAUGGUAGCUUUUCCUUUCUAUGGACUAGUACUAAAAGUACUUAGUCUAACUCCUCGUUUAUGUGAAUGUAUCACAAAAUACAGUAAAUAGGAAAAUGUAAUAAUGUAAGUGUUAUCCCUGGAUUACCAGGAUUAACACAACAUCGCCAAAGCGAAAGAGUAUAACCUAUAGAAUAUCCGAAGAUUGUCCAAUUAACCUCUGUAGCGAACAGAAGGUUCCAGGAAUAGUUAGUCCCGUAACUGGCUCUACAUCGCUGUAAGAGAAAUAGAUAACCUAAUGAACAUCCGAAGAUUGUCCAAUUAACCUCUAUAGCGAACAGUAGGUUCCAGGAAUGGUUAGUCCCGUAACUGUCUCCUAAUAUAAGUAAUAACCUUAGGCAUCCGUAAAUGUCCAUUAACCUCUGUAGCGAACAAAGGUUCCAGGAAUGGUUAGUCUCGUAACUGACUCUACAUUGUUGUAAGCGAAGUAAAUAACCUAACGAACAUCGGAAGAUUGUCCAAUUAACCUCUGUAGCGAACAGUAGGUUCCAGGAAUGGUUAAUCCCAUAACUGACUCCCGUUGAACUGGGAUGGGCUGGAUGAUUUACUGAAGGUAGUAAUAAAUAAUCUUUACGAAUCGAGUUUCAAGUAUUCAUGUAAGUAUACACAGUUAGACGUAUCUACAUAAAGGUAUUCAUGUAAGGUGUUCAUGUAAGUGUAUUCAUGUAUCAUCUAAGCAUAUGUAAAGGUACUCAUGUAUCAGGUAAUGUAUUCGUAAAGUCUCAUGAAUGAACUGACUCUUGUGUGAUUCCUUGUAAUAGGAAUAAUGUUUGAUAUCUUCUAACUAUCCCUACGAUAGUUAACUGAAAGGUAAUUGGUUGUUCAAGUAGGUUUGUACACCCUUACUACACAAGAGUGUGAGAAGCUAAAUGAAAGACGAAAACUAUAACAUCAAUACAUAUAUAAGAAUAUAAGUGGAUAUGCCUAGUUUAGUUCAAGAAUGUAAAAUGGUUUUGUAAGACAUCUAAGGGUUUUGAACAAAUAUAAAAGUGACUUGAUGUCAUUUUGAUAAACAUUUCGAAAGUAAUACAUUUGAUAACAAAGUAUUUUAAAGAUAGAAAACCAUUUCAUGCAUCACAUUUUGUAGUAUAUGAAAUCUGUUGAAUGAAAACAUAGUUAUAAAAUACAUAUAAAUGAUUUAAUAACAUGUUGUUUUCUACUUGUAUUCCCCCCACCCCCACCCCCCCCCAUUAAAGCAUUUAAAAUCAUUUAAAACAUUGAUUAGGAGUAUGAACUCACAUGUAGAUGGUGGUUUGGAUGAACUGGACGGUGUAGGAUUGUUAGGUGUCAAAUGAGGACUUGUACACACACUACGAUCCUAAUGAACAUAUAAUCACACAUAUAUGCACCCAAUUAGUCUUAAAUUACUAAUUGAUAAUGUUAAGACAUCCUAGAACAUAAUAAACACUUUAUAUAAGUGUUAUAAGCCCUAAGGAUUGCAUCUAAGCUAUUGUGGGACAAGGCACUUAGGGUUAGGGUUCCAAAGGACUCUAUACAUGAGUUUACUCUCCAUAUAGCAUCACACAUGGUGUUUAUGGUUGUAAACUCUUGAUUUUACGGCCGUGAACUCCCAAUCUUGGUGAUAUUUUGUGUUUUGAAGUUCUAAAUGAUCCCUAGAAUUAUUCCAACUUGGUGGUUUAAUUCUUGGAAGGGUUUAAGGCAUAAAAACACCCCUUUGAGGAGUUUACGGCCUUAAGGCCAUUUCCUUUAGAGUUUGCAGCCGUAAACUCUUAAUAAUGGGUGUUUUUGAUGCUUUCAAGUCUCAUACGCAUGUAGUAUAGGUCUUAAACUUUUAUCCCAAGCAUAUGAAGGCCUUAGGCACACUUUGGUGCCUUUGUUUGAUGUUCACGGCCCAAGAACCUUAUUAGGGCCGUGAACUCACUUUGAGGGGUGUUUUUGAUGUGUUUUGGUCCUUGAUUUAUGUGGAAACAAUUCCUAGCAAAUAUCUAAGGCUUUAGGUGCCUUAAAAGCACCCUUUUGUCCAUUAUUUUCGAGUUCACUGUCCAAGAUCAUCUUGGGCCGUGAACACCCAUAUUUUGGUGUUUCUUGGUUGUUUUCUUGUCCCUAACACACAUAUAUAUGAGUCCAAGGUAGUAUCAUAUCAUAAUGGAAGGUCUAGGCAUUGUUUCGGGAGUUUACCGCCCAAGAACACCUUGGGGAGUAAACUCCUAAAUCUAGUGAUUUAACCAUCUAAAUCAUGUUAUAAACACAUAAUAAGCUUUCUAACACUACUAGAGAGAGUUACUCACGUUUUGGUAUAAAAACCCGAAGAUCCGUGAGAGAGAAAAUGGCUUUUCUCUAGUUGGAAAUGCGAAUAAUGAAUGAAAUUGGUUCAGAAUUCUAUUUAUAGUCCUGAGAUAUUUUUGGCAGAGAAUUUUUAUUCCCGAAAUGAUCUCUAAUAUAAUAGAGUGAUGGAAUAAUAGAGUUGCACUAAACCCUACUGCAUCCACUCUCCUGAUAUUUCCUGAAGUGUAAACCCUAAAUUACUCAAACUUAUACGAAAAAGUCUGAAUAUUAACUGUGACUGCUAUAACUUCUAUUGAAGUGAUAUAGUUUGUACAGAAUGGAAAUUUCGGGUUGUCACAAGAUCGGCGUUGGUCAGCAUAACUUUUUUGGCAACUCUGAGCAGUCUGUAGUCACUAUCUAAUAUGCUGUAUCAUCUCGGUAGUUUGCAGAGCUACCUCUGUCCGACCCAUCACCCCGUGCCCAACCUCGCCCCAGCAGACUGGGGUCCUACACUUCCCCUCAUACAACAGCUCGAAAGGCGGGAAGCCAAUACUGGAAUGAUAGUUGUUGUUGUAGGCAAACUCUGCAAGUGGUAAGUGGGAAUCCCAACUCCCACCGAAAUCAAUGACACACGCCCUCAACAUAUCCUCGAGGCUCUGAAUGGUCUGCUCACUCUGCCCAUCAGUCUGCGGAUGGAACGCCAUGCUAAAAUGCAGUCGUGUAACCAGUUCCUCAUGGAACAUCUGCCAAAAAUGGGAAGUAAACCUGACAUCUCGAUCGGAAAUGAUAGAAACUGGAACCCCAUGGCGAGAGACAAUCUCCGUAACGUAUAGGUCAGCUAACUUCUCUGACGGUGAACUCUCCCGUAUGGCUAGGAAAUGGGCACUCUUGGUCAAUCGAUCCACGAUGGCCCAUAUAGCAUCGAACCCCCUUGCCGUCUUUGGAAACUUCGUGAUGAAAUCCAUCGCGAUACGUUCCCAUUUCCACAUGGGGAUCUCCAGAGGCUACAGCUUACCAUGCAGCGUCUGAUGCUCGGCCUUGACCAUCCUGCAGGUCAAGCACCUCUCAACAAACCAAGCGAUAUCUCGGUUCAUGCGGGGCCACCAAUAACUCGAACUCAAAUCACGGUACAUCUUGGUGGCUCCCGGGUCAAUCGAUAAACGAGACUUAUGAGCCUCCUCCAUCACUGUCUGCCUGACCCCUCCGGACAUAGGAACCCAAACCCGACCGUAAUGGGUCAACAAUCCGCGGCUAUCCUGAUCAAACCGGGUGCUUUCGCCCUUAAUCCUCUCCAUCUUCCAGUUAUCUGGUCUCACACCCUCAAUCUGAGGAUCCCUGACAAAACCCACUAGCCGGGAAUCCACCGUUAUCCUUAUACACCUGGCUGGGGUCAAGGACCCAGCUAACUUGCGGCUCAUAGCAUCCACAACCACGUUCGCUUUACCAGGAUGGUAAAGGAUCUCACAAUUAUAGUCCUUGACCACAUCCAGCCACCUGCGCUGCCUCAUGAUCAGGUUCGGCUAAUCCAUGAUGUGUCUCAAACUCUUGUGAUUCAUGUAUAUAGUGCAACAGACCCCAUACAGAUAGUGCCUCCAAAUCUUGAGAGCGAAAACCACCGCUCCCAAUUCAAGAUCGUGCGUAGGGUAUCUUGUCUCAUGCGGCUUUAGCUGCCACGAUGCGUGGCCUACCAACCGUCCUUUCUGCAUGAGGACAGCCCCCAAGCCUGUGAUGGAUGCAUCACAAAAUACCACAAAAUCCUCCACUCCCUCGGGGAGUGUCAACACCGACGCCUCGUAUAAACACUGUCAGAGGGUCUCAAAUGCCCUCUACUGCUCAGGGCCCCACUGGAAAUCCACCCGCUUCCUUGUUAGGUGAGUGAGGGGUACGACAAUCUUGGAGAAAUCAUAAAUGAAUCUCUAAUAAUACCAUGCUAAACCCAAGAAACUCCUGAUGUCUGAGGCUAAUCUCGGAGUCUCCCACUGCAUAACCGCCUCCAACAUGGCCGGAUCGACCAAAAUCCCCUCCUGGUUAACGAGAUGUCCGAGGAUAUGGACCUCUCAUAACCAAAAAUCGCAUUUCGAGAAUGUAGCAUACAGCCGUUCUCACCUCAGAACCUCCAGCAGCUCCCUGAGAUGCUCCUCAUGUUGCUCUCAGGUCUUGGAAAACACCAAGAUAUCAUCUAUGAAUGCAAUGACAGAGCGGUCGAGCAUCGGUCUGCAGACUCGGUUCAUCAAAUCCAUGAACACUAUUGGCACAUUGGUGAGCCCAAAUGGAAUCACCACGAACUCGUAAUGACCAUAACGAGUCCGAAACGUGGACUUCUCCACGUCUUCCACCCUCACCCUGACCUCAAAUCAAUCUUGGAAAACCAAGACGCUCCCUGCAGCUGAUCAAAAAGAUCGUCUAUCCGCGGGAGCGGAUAAUGGUUCUUCACCGUUAACUUUUUCAGCUCCAUUUAGUCAAUGCACAUCCUGUGCGAACCGUCCUUCUUCUAGAUGAAAAGGAUCGGUGCUCCCCAGGGUGAGCUACUCGGACGAAUAAACUGCUUACCCAGCAGUUCCUACAACUAAGAUGAUAGCUCCUACAUCUUCGGCGGUGCCAAACGAUAUGCCGCCUUAGUAAUAGGGGCUGCACCUGGCACUAGAUAAAUCCUGAACUCAACCUGCCUCACCGGAGGCACUCCGAGUAACUCCUCCGGAAACUCAUCAGCAACUCUCAAACCACCGAACCUCUGAAACUGAGAGCUGCUCUCUAACCCGCAUAUUUACCACAUAUGCCAAAUAACCGGGACACCUGUGCUAAAUAUACUGUCGAGUCCUGGCUCCCCAACAAAACCCUGAUCCCGACCUGGUGCCCUCAACAUAUACUACCAGUUCUCCCCCACUUGGGGUUCGAACCACCACCCGCUGUCCCUCACAGUCGAUCAUGGCGCCAAAGUGUCUAAGCCAAUCUAUCCCUACAAUCACGCAUACAUCCUGCAUGGGGAUAGGAAUCAAAUCUAUUAGGAAGGACACCCCAAAAAUCUCCAACUCGCAUCCCCGGUAGACCGAAGAAGCAGAAACUCUAUGCUCUUUGGCGAUCGAAACUUGCAACAGACACUCAACAUCACCUAUCGGCACAUUGGUCCCUCUAGAGAAGGUCUGAGAUACAAAGGACCGACUCGCCCCCGAGUCAAAUAAUACUAAAGCGGGCAUAGAAUUCACUAAAAACGUACCUAACCACAGGCAUAAUCCAUAAGCAUAACACAAAUACAAUAAUUGAGACAAGGAACAGUAACGUACCAGCAACUACAUCCGGUGCUGCCUUGGCCUCCUCGGCCAUGAGCUGGAAGGCGUGACCCUGAGUGUAAAAAACAAAAUUUUCACAUACUUUUUCACAUUUUAAAAACACACUUUCAUUCAUAAUUGUUAUAAAAUAUCAUCGUAUCACAUAAUAAUCCAUAACAUCACAUACCAAGAUCAAAAUAUAUAAAAACUCCUCGUGUGUGUACUGAUCAACUCGGUGCCUUCCUGCGAUCCUUACUGGUACCUGAAACACAUAACAUAACACUAUAAGCAUAAAGGCUUAGUGACUUCUCCAAAAUACCACACACAACACAUAUUAGCCACUCGAGGCUAGAAAUCUGUUUGACCCUCUUGUCAAUGUGUCUCAAUGGGACCCUCGAGUCCUAUAACUCUGUGGGCCCUCUAGCACUAACUUUGUGGACCUUCCUGCCCUAAAUCUAUAACAUACAUAGCAUAAAUCACAUAGAAAUCACAUCAUGCAAAAGCAUACAAAAUACCCUGUCACAUAACUCUAAUUACCACUCUAGGUAAAGUAUAGUGAGAAGACUCACCUCGGGUAACUCGGUAAUCUAGAACUCUGUAAAUAGUCUGGUCUAGCCUCCACUUAAUCAUACGAAAUAAACACUCUUAAUCAAUACAUAUCUCAAGGGUAGACUAUCCCCUCUCUUAGCACUCCCAAAAGGGUAAAAGACCAUUUUACCCUUCCCGUGGCUUAGAGACUCUAAAGUUGACCAAACCCUAAAAGUCAACAAAAGUCAACUCUCCGGGCUACACUGCGCAUACUAAACAUGUACCCUGGGCGUACCCGGCGUCCUCACCAAAACGGGGUGCGCGACCCCUUACGUCGCGCGUACUAGGAUUACGCCCAGCGUAACUCCCAGUUUCAGACUCUCAGCUCGUGAGGUCUUAAAUAGUUAAGACCCACGUCCAACUUCUAGAUCUGACCAUUUCUAAGCCUCUUAAUCCAUAAAGUUGGUGAUUUUAAUCCUUUGCAUGGCUGGACAAGUCAUUAACACCCAUAACAUUCCAUUUCCCAACUCUAGAAAGCUCAUAACUCAAGCAUGACCUCAUAACAAUGAGCAAGAUGGAAACUUUAUGGAUCUAUAACACAAAUAUCACUGAAAUGGGACAGAUCUAGGUCCAUGGAGUACAUUACACUCAUAAAGUCUCCUCUUUGGGACUUUUAACCCUAGAAAUGGUCCAUGCACUCAUCAAAUCAAAUAAAGAGGAAAGUUUUGAAAUUUAUAGUUUCAAAUGAAGCUCCUUUCUCUGUAGAUCUCAGAUCGAAACUUGCACUUCAAUCCCUAACCUCCACAAUCUCUUCUCCUUCUUCUUCACUAACACACCAAGACACUUUUAGCUCCAAACACACACACACUCAAGCUAAGGAUGAUGGAAAGCUGAUUAUUAGGGUUUCACUCUCUGAUAUGGAGGCUGAGAAAUGAGCCUUGGCAUCCUUUAAAUAGUGCAGAAGCCACAAAUUUAAGGUUUGCAUCUGGACCCUUUACACCCAGCGUACCCAGGCGAGUUCGCGUCCAAUUUAAGCGCAUGAGUACGCGCAGCGUACACUCCGGUACGCCCAGCAUACUCAUGUACUACAAGAACUCACUCAAGGGACUAAUCUUGACCAUUUGACAAAAGGGAAGGGCUAAAUAGCCUUACCUAAAUUUUGGGAUGUGAAAUUCUCCCCCACUAGAACCAGACUUCACCCUCGAAGUCUCAUGCUGUAAACAACUCUGGAUGAUGCUCCCGCAUCUCUGACUCCGUUUCCCAAGUCAGCUCGGACCCCUUCCGAUGCUGCCACUGGACCUGAACCAAUGACACCUCUUGUUCCUCAUAACCUUGACCUUCUGGUCUAAGAUCACGAUCGGUCUCUCGACAUAAUUCAAUCUCGUGUCCACCUGGAUACCCUCCAACGGUACCACUGCCGACUCGUCGGCUAUACACUUCCUCAACUAAGACGCGAGGAAGGUAUCAUGGAUCUGGCUCAACUCCGCAGGUAGCUCCAAACGAUAUGCUACCCUGCCCACCCUCACGAUCACCCUAAACGGUCCAAUGUAACAGGGCCCCAACUUGUCUCUUUUCCUGAAUCGGAUCACUCCUUUCCAUGGAGACACUUUCAGGAGUACAAAAUCUCCAACCUGAAACUCGAGCUCGGAUCGAUGCUUAUCCGCGUAACUCUUCUGGCGACUCUGGGCCAUCAGCAACCUUUCUCUAACUUGUUGUAUCUGCUCUGUCGUCUGAAGUACUAUCUCAGUGCUACCCAUCACUCGCUGCCCUACCUCUCCCCAACAUACGGGAGUCUAAUACCUCCUCCUAUACAACAACUCAAAGGGAGGCAUACCAAUGCUCGAAUGGUAGUUGUUGUUAUAGGAAAACUCAGCCAAAGGCAGAUACGUGUCCCAACUCCUUCCGAAGUCGAACACACAUGCCCAAAGCAUGUCCUCGAGGGUCCAAAUCGUCCGCUCACUCUAUCCAUCCGUCUGUGGGUGAUAAGCAGUACUGAAAUGCAACCUAGUUCCCAAUUCCUCAUGGAACUUCUUCUAGAACCUAGAAGUGAAACUCACAUCUUGAUCUGACAUAAUCGAGAUCGGUACACCAUGUCGUGAUACUACCUCCCUCACAUACACCUCUGCCAGCUUCUCUAUGGAAGAGCUCUCACUGAUAGCAAGAAACUGAGCGCUCUUUGUCAGCCAGUCAACGAUCACCCAAAUUGCAUCGACUCCUCUCGCAGUCCUUGGUAAUUUGGUGAUAAAAUCCUUUGAAAUCUGUUCCCACUUCCACUCGGGAACCUCAAGCGGCUGCAACUUGCCAUGCGGACUCUGGUGCUCGGCCUUAACCCUGCGACAAGUAAAGCACCUCUCUACGAACAAUGCAACAUCCCUCUUCAUACAUGGCCACCUAUAGUCUCUUUUCAAGUCCAAAUAUAUCCUAGUGGCCACGGGAUGGACCGAAAACCUCGACCUAUGCACCUCCACCAUCAAAAUGGCAUGUGCCUCGCCCUUAUAUGGCACCUAAAUCUGGCCCUGGAAAGUCAUAAGUCCACGGCUAUCGAAAACGAACUCAUAUAUCUGACCGAUCACCCGCUCCCUUUUGCGCUUCUCCAAUCUCAUGGCCACUAUCUCGGCCUCCCGAAUGGUGUUCAAAACCGGAUUCAUCACUAUCAUCCUCAAACAAACAUCUCGCAAUGUUGCACAGUCUGCCCUACGACUCAAGGCAUCGGCUACCAUGUUAGCCUUUCCCGGGUGGUACAGGAUCUCACACUCAUAAUCCUUUACCAUGUCCAAUCAUCUCCUCUGGCGCAUGUCCAGGUUGAGCUGGUCCAUCAGAUACUUCAAGCUCUUGUGGUCCGUGUAUAUGGUACACCGAACCCCAUACAAAUAGUGGCGUCAGAUCUUGAGGGGAACACCACAGCCCCCAACUCCAAAUCGUGAGUAGGAUACUUGGUCUCACGAGGCUUCAACUGCCUCGAUGCGUAUGCUAUCACAUGACCCCUCUGCAUCAACACUGCACCCAAUCCCAAUAUCGACGCGUCACAAUAUACCACAAAAUCCUCCAUUCCCUCCGGAAGGGCUAACACUGGUGCUUUGCACAAUCUCAGGCGAAGUGUCUCGAACGAGGCCUGCUGCUCUGGGCCCCAAUUAAAAGCCACGCCCUUCUGGGUCAUCCUGGUGAGCGGAACAACAAUCCUGGAGAAAUCCUGGAUGAAUCUCCGAUAAUAAUCGGUCAACCCCAGGAAACUCCUGAUCUCCGAAUAGGAUCUCAGCACCUCCCAACUCAUCACCACCUCAAUCUUGGCAGGAUAGACCAAUAUCCAAUUCAGGUUGACGAGGUGUCCAAGAAAUUGGACCUCUCGUAACCAGAAAUCACACUUGGAGUAUUUAGCGUAAAUCCUCUUCGAUCUCAAAACUCCGACGAUCUCCCUCAAAUGCUCCUCAUGCUGCUCUCUGGAUCUCGAAUACACCAAUAUAUCAUCAAUGAACACGAUCACCGAACGAUCCAACAUCGGCCUAUAUACCCUAUUCAUGAGAUCCAUUAACGCCGCCGGUGCAUUGGUGAGACUGAAAGGCAUCACAACAAACUCGUAAUGCCCGGGUGGUACAGGAUCUCACACUCAUAAUCCUUUACCACGUCCAAUCAUCUCCUCUGGCGCAUGUCCAGGUUGGGCUGAUCCAUCAGAUACUUCAAGCUCUUGUGAUCCGUGUAUAUGGUACACUGAACCCCAUACAAAUAGUGGCGCCAGAUCUUGAGGGGAAUACCACAGCCCCCAACUCCAAAUCGUGAGUAGGAUACUUGGUCUCACGAGGCUUCAACUGCCUCGAUGCGUAUGCUAUCACAUGACCCCUCUACAUCAACACUACACCCAAUUCUGAUAUCGACGCGUCACAAUAUACCACAAAAUCCUCCAUUUCCUCCGGAAGGGCUAACACUGGUGCUUCGCACAAUCUUUGGCGAAGUGUCUCGAAUGAGGCCUGCUGCUCCGGGCCCCAACUAAAAGCCACGCCCUUCUGGGUCAUCUUGGUGAGAGGAACAACAAUCCUGGAGAAAUCCUGGAUGAAUCUCCGAUAAUAAUCGGCCAACCCCAGGAAACUCCUGAUCUCCGAAUAGGAUCUCGGCACCUCCCAACUCAUCACCACCUCAAUCUUGGCAGGAUAGACCAAUAUCCCAUUCAGGUUGACGAGGUGUCCAAGAAACUGGACCUCUCGUAACCAGAAAUCACACUUGGAGUAUUUGGCGUAAAGCCUCUUCGAUCUCAAAACUCCGAGGAUCUCCCUUAAAUGCUCCUCAUGCUGCUCUCUGGAUCUCGAAUACACCAAUAUAUCAUCAAUGAACACGAUCACCGAACAAUCCAACAUCGGCCUACACACCCUAUUCAUGAGAUCCAUUAACGCCGCCGGUCCAUUGGUGAGACUGAAAGGCAUCACAACGAACUCGUAAUGCCCGUAACGAGUCCUAAACGCUGUCUUCUGGAUAUCCUUGUCACGCACCCUCAUCUGAUGAUAUCUAGACCUCAAAUCAAUCUUGGAGAACCAAGACGCUCCCUGCAACUGAUCGAACAAAAAGUCGAUCCUCGGUAAGGGGUAACGGUUCUUGACCACCAGCUUGUUCAACUCCCGGUAAUCAAUUUACAUCCGGUGGGAACCAUCCUUUUUUUUUGACAAAAAGGAUCAGCGCUCCCCACAGCGAGCUACUCGGCCGUAUAAACCCCUUUCCCAGCAGCCCCUAAAGCUGCGAGGAUAACUCCUGCAUCUCUAGAGGUGCAAGGCAAUAGGGCGCCUUGGAAAUAGGCGCUGCCUCCGGAACCAAAUCGAUACGGAACUCCACCUGCCUCUCAGGAGGAACACCCGGAAACUCCUCGGGGAAAGCAUUCAGGGACCUCAUCGACCGACCUCGGUCUCUCUGCACCUACCCUCGCAUCCACCACAUAAGCCACAAAUCCUUUACAGCCCGGCUGCAGACUCUGCCUCACUCUCGUGGCUGAACAAAAUGCUGACCCAGAACGGGUACCCUCGCCAUAAACUGUAACAACUCCACCACCAGGGUCUCGUAUGGUCACCAAUUGCCACUCGCAGUCAAUAACCGCUUCAAAACUGCUCAACCAGUCCAUGCCCAUGAUGACACAGACAUCUCCCAUAGCAAUUGGGAGCAAACCAAUCGGAAACUCAAUGCCGAAGAUCUCAAGUACACAUCCUAGAAUCACAUCAGUGGCAUACACUGCUCUCUCGUCAGCAAUGGAAACUCACAAAGGUCGACUCAACGCCUCUCGACGAAUACUGAUGUGCUGACUAAAGGCUAACGACACAAAAGACGGACUCACACCCGACUCAAAUAACACCAAAGCAGGUACAAAACUCACAAGAAUUGUACCUAUGCAUAUCAUAAUAUAAGCAUAAUACCACAAACUCAAAAUAAACAGAUGAAAGAAUACAUACCAGCUACAACAUCGGGUGCUGCGCGGACUCCUCCGCUAUCAACUGGAAGGCUCUCUCGCGAGCCUUCGGUGCCUCGGCCUUCACCGGCCGACUAUCCGCAGUUCGUACAGCAGUAGGGACAGAUCCCUGAGAAGCUCCCUGAGUUGACCCUCAUAACUGCAGACACUCGGCCUUCCGGUGUCCGGUCUGGUUGCAGGGAAAACAAACUGCAAACCCCUUGGGGCAAUCCUUGGCCAUGUGCCCCUCCUUUCCACACUUGUAGCAAGACCCUGCUCUACACACCCCUCAUGACUCUUGCCGCACUUGCCACAAGUGCGGCCCUUCUGGCUCCCUGAUCGCGAAUCGGCGGGCUUGGCCUGCUUGGUAGCCGGCUGGGACUGUGUCGGUCGUCGACCCUUCCCCUGAGACUCUGCCUCCUACCUGGCUUGAGUCUCUAGCUCAAUCUUCCUCUUCCAGGCAUUUGCAUGAAGCUUGGAAAAUGUCCGGUACGUCGAGUUUGCCACGAACUCACGGAUGUCUCUCCUCAAAAUACUCAAAUACCGACUCAUACGUGCCUACUCGGAAGACACGUGCUCAGGGCAAAACAUUGCCCUCUCAUGAAACAUCAUUGUGAUCAUAGUAACGUACUCAGUACCCUACUUGAGGGUCAAGAAAUCCUGGGCCAAACGCUUCCUUUCCACCGGGGAAGGUACUCAUCACGAAACAUAGCGGUGAAACUCUCCUAGGUCACCGCAGCAAGCUCUGCAGAAGAAUAAUGCGCUGUCACAAAUUUCCACUAGUCCUUCGCCCCUAGGAGAAGCUGGUUCAGCAUGAACCUAACUCUCAGAUGCUCCGGACAUGAACAUGUGUAGAAGCACCCCUCGAUGUCAGAGAUCCACCUCAUUGAGGCUAUCGAAUCCUGAGUCCCAUCAAACUCUGGUGGCUUCGUGUUGCUUAACUCCUGGUACAACAACGUGUCACCCCCUUGCGGCCUGGCAGCAGCAACGGCUACAGUGAGUGCAGCAACAGCAGCAUCUGUAAGAGCAACAUACCGCUCAUCAUAACUCUCUAUCAGUGUGGUCUUGAUAGACCCGAUCAUCUUUGGAAUCUCAGUGCAGAUGGCCGCAGCCACCUCAUCAUGAAUCAUCUGGCGGAGCUCCUCAUCGGUCACACCCCCCCUCGCUUGUCCCUGGCCUGUGGCGUGUCCCAACCAUGAUGUCUCUCUGAAAUACAACACAAUAUAUCAGAGACUUGCUCGAGUGUACAAACACUCGAUAUCCCAUUCCUACUUGAUCUCUGGUACCCUAAGGAUUCUUACUUGGCCUGCACACUGAUCCAAUGUCUUCGGUAGUAUGGGCCCGAUACUACCGUCCACACCGCAUCAAUAUUGACCUCAAGUCCUCCUCCUAGGAUCUGAAGUCCCAAGUACUCUAAUCUCUCUAUACAUAGCCUACUCACUAGCAAGUCUCUCAUAAGCUCCUCACUGCUAUCCAUUCACUCUUAAGCAUAUCCUAGUAGGAAAAUCCCUAGGCUAAGGCAUCACAAAUGAGGCCACUCUAGUCCUAAUAAGAAUACCUAGCCUACUCUAGCUCGCAUAUCAUAUCAUAACAUAUCUCACAACUCAUAAUGUAAGGCUAUUCUGGGAAAUCACGAUUCAGGCGCUGGCUGAUCGUACACACUGCUCUGCUCUGCUCUUUCAAAAACCUUUUACUCUUGAGAAAAAUUUUGUGAAUUUUAUUUUGAAAAUCCCUCAAAUCCUCAGUUUGAGUUCAGAUACGCCCGAAGGUGCACCCGAAUCCCUCAAACCAAGGCUCUGAUACCAACUUGUAACACCCAAAAUUUUGAAAUAAUUUUUCACAUUUUAAAAACACACUUCCAUUCAUAAUUCUUAUAAAAUAUCAUUGUGUCACUUAAUAAUCCAUAACAUCACAUCCCAAGAUCAAAAUAUAUAAAAACUCCUCGAGUGUGUAUUGAUCAAGCCGACGCCUUCCUACGAUCCUCACUAGUACCUGAAACACAUAACACAACACUAUAAGCAUAAAAGCUUAAUGAGUUCCCCAAAAUACCACACACAACACAUAUUAGCCAUUCGAGGCUAGAACUCUAUUUGACCCUUUGGUCAAUGUGUCUCAGUGGGACCCUCUAAUCCCAUAACUCUAUGGGCCCUCUGGCCCUAACUCUGUGGACCUUUCGGUCCUAACUCUGUAACAUACAUAACGUAAAUCACAUAGAAAUCACAUCAUGCAAAAGCAUACAAAAUACUCUGUCACAUAACUCUAAUUACCACUCUAGGUAAAGUAUAGUGAGAAGACUCACCUCAGGUAACUCGGUAAUCUCGAACUUUGUAAAAAGUCAGGUCUAGCCUCCACCUAAUCAUACGAAAUAAACACUCUUAAUCAAUACAUCUCUCAAGGCUAGACUAUCCCCUCUCUUAGCACUCUCAGAAGGGUAAAAGACCAUUUUACCCCUCCUAUGGCUCAAAGACUCUAAAGUUGACCAAACCCAAAAAGUCAACAAAAGUUAACUCUCUGGGCUACGCUGCGCGUACCAAACAUAUACACUGGGCGUACCAGGCGUCCUCACCGAAACUGGGUGCGCAACCCCUGCGUACUAGGAUUACGCCCGGCGUAACUCCCAGUUUCAGACUCUAAGCUCUUGAGGUCUUAAACAGUUAAGACCCACGUCUAACUUCUAUAUCUGACCAUUUCUAAGCCUCUUAAUCCAUAAAGUUGGUGACUUUAAGCCUUUGGAUGGCUGGACAAGUCACUAACACCCAUAACAUUCCAUUUCCCAACUCUAGAAAGCUCAUAACUCAAUCAUGACCUCAUAACAAUGACCAAGAUGGAAACUUUAUGGAUCUAUAACACAAAUAUCACUGAAAUGGGACAGAUCUAGGUGCAUGGAGUACAUUACACUCAUAAAGACUCCACAUUUUGGACUUUUAACCCUAGAAAUGGUCCAUGCACUCAUCAAAUCAAAUAAAGAGAAAAGUUUUGAACUUUAUACCUCCAGAUGAAGCUCCUUUCUCUAUAUAUCUCAGAUCCAAACUUGCACUUCAAGCCCUAGCCUCCACAAGCUCUUCUCCUUCUUCUUCACUAACACACCAAGACACUUUUAGCUCCAAACACACCCACUCAAGCUAAGGACGAUGGAAGGCUCUCUCUUAGGGUUUCACUCUUUGAUAUGGAGGCUGAUAAUGAGCCUUAGCAUCCUUUAAAUAGUGCACAAGCCACAAAUUUAGGGUUUGCAUCUGGACUCUUUACACCUAGCGUAACCCUAGGUACACCCAGCGUACCCAGGCGAAUCUGCGUUCAAUUUAAGGGCAUGAGUACGCACAGCGUACACUCCGGUACGCACAGCGUACUCAUGUGCUACAAGAACUCACUCAAGGGACGAAUCUUGACCAUUUGACAAAAGGGAAGGGCUAAAUAGCCUUACCUAAUUUUCGGGAUGUUACAGAACCUGAGCCUUUGGAGGCUCCACAUUGACUGGCCACCCAUCUCCAGUCCUCAAGGUAGUUGGUGCGGGACCCAGCACCGGCUUGGCGGCGAGCUACGGAAAGUUGGUCUUCACAUGACCAACCGGAUGACAAUGGUAACAAAUCCUCAUAUCUGCUGGAGGGGCAGACUGAUGGCAGUCCCUAGCAUAGUUCCCUUCCUUGCCACAUUUGUGGCACCCACCUCUUGCUCGACAAACUCCCGAAUGACCCCUGCCACACUUUCCACAUGUGCGGCUCUGCUGACUCCCCGAUCGACUAUCAGCGGUCUAAGACUGCUUAGGCGCUGGCUGAGACUGUGUUGGUGUCUGGCGCUGCAUCUUCAGCAGCAGCUCCAUCUCAAACUCAUGCCGCCUCGCGGCUUCCUGUAGAUCCAGGAGGGUUUCACAACGCUGUGUAGCCACAAACUGCCGUAUAUUCGUCUUGAGCAUACUCAGAUAACGAGUCAUCAGAGACUGCUCUGACGCAAACUCCUGGCAAAAACAUAGCCCUCUCAGUGAACAUCCGAGUAAUCUCCAUCACAGACUCCCCAUCCUAUCUCAAUGUCAAAAACUCCUGAGCAAGCCGCACCCGUUCCACAUGCGGAACGUAGCGGGUGCGAAACAUAUCCCGGAAAUGCCCCCAAGUAAUAAUAGCCCACUGAUCAUCUGAAUAUGAAUAUGUCAUCAAUCUCCACCAUUCCUUUGCCCCGAGCCUAAGCAGGUUCAGAGCACACCUAACCUUCUAGUCAAUAGGACAUGAGUACGUGAAGAAACAACCCUCCACGUCAGACAACCACCGCAUAGCUCUGAUCGCAUCCUGAAUACCAUCAAAUGUCGGGGGCUUCAUAUUAUCAAAAUCCCGAUACUGGAAAGCCCUGCCGGCUCCUCCUCCAACCCAUGCCGCAGUUACAGCCGAAGUGGCUGCAGCGGCUGCUGUCUCUUCCAGAGCGGCAUAUCGCUCAUUGAAAUACUCAACCAUCGCGGUCUUGAUUGAUCCAAACAUCUCUGCUGUUGUGCUUGGAAAGCCGCAGCGACCUCAUCGUGUAGAAUCUCUCGAAUCCUAGCAUCUAGCACCUCAGUCCCUAUCUGAACCACGGGCUCUGGUGCUACCGGCACCUCUGACCCUUCAUCUCCUAACCCUGACCCUGAUCCCGAUCCAGCAGCAAAACGUCUCUUCACCACCAUACUGAAAGGUACACUCAGGACAUUAGAUAAAAAACAUAAUAUCGGGAGACGAAAACCCAAAAACCCUAGGGGUUGUGACUUCCUUGCUACACCUAUGGGUCCUGUGCUUCUAGUAGUACGCGCCCAUACUACCUUCCACAACAACCCAUACUUGUCUCACGUAUCACCACAACGCCCUAACACUAUAAUCAACCUAAUGUGCGCUCAACCCUCGCUACUAGGGGACAUCGCCUAUCUCACAACUGAUCUCACAGCUCUUCACAACUCACACCUCCAUGAAACUUCCAUCAGCCCCUGCAGCGCUAGUGUGUGCUAGCCGCACAUAACGCUGGACCCGAUAGACUUUCGAAUAUCCAAUCCUACCCUAAGGUUGAAUUAGGCACUCCCAGGCUAUAAGAUUUUGACUAUGCACAGUGGUGAUGCAUACACUAAACUUCUACAGUUAUGAUGUCAAUUCCACAUACAAGAAACCCUAGGCUAAUAGGUAUCAUAUAAUUAGGCAAAUCUACCACGCGAUUCCUGAAGAUCCCUAGCCUAGCACUAGCAUGAUGUUCUAACAUAUUAUAAUAUCAAAUAACUAUAUGGUAUUUUUGUUGGAAUAGUGUCUAAGGCUGCAACUAUAUUAGGCAAGUAUUUUGACCCGGUUGUGCAUGGUGCUUUUGGGUUGCCUUCACCAUAGCAACUUGAUAGGAUGAUUUAUUAAGAGAGAAUAAAUAUUAUUAAUAUAUUAUGAGAAUAAUAUAAAGAAUAAUAAUAUUGUUAUUUGAUUAAUAUAAGUCAUAAAUUAAUUAGUAUUAAUUUGGUGACUUAAAGAGAUUAAUUAAAUAAGAGGGUAUAAACUGUCAAUUGUUUGAUAGUUAAACUUUAGACUAUAAAUCCUUAUUGGAUAGGGGUUGGACGAAUUCUAGAAGCUAGGGAUAGCUUAAAAUCGUCCAAGGCUAUCUAAGGAAUGGAUUUGGAUUGCUUUAAGAGAAGAUUAUCCAACUAGGGUUUAAGUUGUAACCCUUAAGGAGUCUACAAGUAUAAAUAGACCCUAUGGCAAAGGGGAAUCGGCACUUCAUCUAAAGUAGAGAACCCUUGGCCGAAUUCCCUCCCCUCUCCUCUCUCCCAAAUCAUCCUCCUUGCUAUUUGGUGUUUGUAAGCCAUUAGAGGAGUGACAAUUGUGACUCUAGAGCUCCAAGACAACAAGAUCAAACAAGAGAUUCAAAGGUAUGAUUCUAGAUCUGAUUUAGUAUUGUUAUUACACCUAAUUAGUCAUUAGAAGUCUUGGAUUCAAAGCAUGUUUAAUUAGAAAGCCUAGAUCCAAGCAUUAGGGUUUUGCAUGCGCACAUAGGAAAGUUCUUAUGGCUAAAACCCAUCAGUGGUAUCAGAGCCUAGCUUGGUUUUCAUUAAAUUGUUGCUUAUUUGUCUGAAACUAAACUGCAAAAUUCGAUUUUUGUGUUUCUGAGUCAUGGACUCGGCGAGUUCCAUAGUGGACUCGGCGAGUUGGCCUGACUCGGCGAGUCCCUUGGUGCACUCGGCGAGUCCAAGCGUCAGGAAUGGCCAGAUUCGGGAUUUCUUCAUGAUUAUCUUAUGGAAACUUACCUUAAUCAUAUUAGAUCAACCCUAAUCCGAUUUUUUGAUAUAUAUGACUAUAAUCUUGAUCUAAUUAAAGAUAUUUAUCAACUAAUAAAAUAUUUAAUUUCCUUAUAUGAUAAUUAAUUAAUUAUUUUGAUUAAAUUGGUAAUUAUCUUGCAAGAAAUCUUGAAUAAAUCAAAUAUAGAUAAUUAGGAAAUUAAUUGUUAAUUAAAAUUAUUUGUUAUUUGAUCCUCCAUGUUUUAAAUGUUUAAAACUUGUCCUCAAGUUUUGAAAUUUAUAUUUUGUGAUUAAAAGUUUUAAUUUAGACAAUUUAAAUUUCAAACCCUAGAUUUUAAAAGGUUUAAAAUACAACCCUAUACUAAUAUAAUAUUACAAGAAUAAUAUAUAUAUAUAUAUAACUAAAAUGCUAGUCUUACCGUUAGUAGGCCUCAUUCACGAAGCCGAUCUAUAAGGUGGGUAUAAGGUUGCGGCCUAUAAAAUGGCGCUUAAUGGGUGUACACUCACACCCACCGCUUGCUUGAUCGGUGGAGGGUCGUUAGCCGAACGGGUAGGAUAGGGCAACCUCAUCCUCUCAUUAAAAGUAUAAUAAGAAAUACAAAGUAACUACACAUAUUUUAAAAUUUCCCAAUCUUAGUUACUUUAGGAAAAGUGAAUUGAUGCAAUCCCAUGAAAUUACACUUUGCACCCUUGCUAAGAAGUUAGUGGAGCGUGUGUGGUUUACUGGCACACUAAUUGGUUCUAAGCAAAGGUUGCAAAGGGUGAUUCAUUGCUUAUCAUAGUUCGAUGGAGCGUGUGUGGUUUACCAGCACAUCGAAUAGUUGAUCGUUACAAUGAAAGCACCAUAUGAAUUUGCAUGGUAAUUCACACCCACUUUGUGAUCCUCGGUAUCCCAGUCACAAACAAGAGGGGCAUAUCGAGAUUUAAACAUGCCAUUGAAUAGUUUCAAUGAAUCUCAUCCGAACCUAGGAAUUCUCAAUACGUUUAGGACAUAUAGUUAGUUUUUUAUGGUGGAGAAUUAGUGAAUCGUCAUUCACUUAUCUUCAAUUUAUUUGCAUUUUAGAUUACAGCAUCCCUUUUCUAAAUAUGUAAAUAUUGUUGUUGGAUCCUAGCCCUAAUUUUUCUUAUUGGGUGAUAAUUAGGGAUUCAUAUUCUAAUCUAUCUUUGUCCUUUCUAAUUGAAGAUCUCGAACGCAAACAACGUUGCUGCUAGUUCCUUCACAUUGAUGAGCCUUUGCCAAAAGGUCACCUUCGAUGGAAUGAACUUUAGCGAAUGGAUAAGAUACAUUCGCACCAUUGCUCGCUAUGAGGAUAAGGAGUAUGUCCUCGAUGAGAAGCUCGAGAAAAUCAACCCUGAAAUCGCUGCUCCGACUGAAAUAACCGCUUUUUAAUCUCAUGAGCGCGAUGCAACGAAGGUAUAUUGCAUCAUCAUAGCCACCAUGAACUCUGAAUUCCAAAUGUCCUAUGAGGACAUGUACCCAUACGAAAUGCAUCAAGACUUAUUGGAGAGAUACCAACAGAACGUGAGACAAGAGCGUUAUGAGAUUUUCACUAACAUGAUUUCCGCUAAGAUGGGUCAUGGAGAAUCUCUUACCGUGCACCUGCAAAAGAUGCAAAGGUAUGUCGACCGCCUUCGCAAGUUAAAUGUUGACUUUGGGGAAGACUUGGCGAUCGACAUGGUGCUUCACUCUUUGCCUCCGAUGUACAACCAAUUUAGGAUGACCUACCACAUGAACAAAGAAGAGGUCACCCUAAGCAAACUCCAAGGUCUCUUGAGGGUCGCUGAAAGCAACUUCAAAGACAAGUCUGUUGCACCAACUCCCAAUCCACCCGCUGCUCCUGUCUUGGCUAUUGGUCAAGGAAAGGGAAAGAAGAGGAAGGCUUCGUCUAAGAACUAUCGCAAGGUUAAAGCCCGAGAUGGUGCCUCUUCUAGUGGGACCAAAGUUGAUCCCGCUAAGCCCUGCCCUAACCCUAAGGAGGCAGAGUGCCACCACUGCCACAAGAUAGGACAUUGGAAGAGAAGCUGCCCAGAGUACCUGCAAGCCAUCAAGGAAGGAAAGAUCAAGCCAUCUUUCGCAGGUAUAUACACAAUUAAAUCUAACGAUUCUAAUCAUGCUAUUUCUUGGGUUCUUGAUACCGGUUGUGGUUAUCACAUUUGUUCUAAUGUGCAGGGACUAAGAAGAAGUAGGGAUGUGGAGCAAGGAAGAAUCAAUCUAAUCAUGGGGAACAGAAGAUCGUCGCCUGUGACCAAGAUUGGAGUGUAUUCUUUAGUGCUUAGGAAUAAUUUAUGUUUAGAUUUGAACAAUUGUUGCUAUUCGCCAGAAAUGGCUAGAAACAUCAUUUCAUUUCAUGGUUUAUAUAGACAAGGUUUUAGAUUUUCUUUUAAUAAUGAGAAUGGUUCUAUUUUGGCUUAUCUAAAUGGUGUCUUUUACUUUGAAGCUAUACCAUGUAAUGGAAUAUAUGAAACUGUUAUGAUUGUUGAUAACUUAGGAAAUGAUGUUUUGAAUAUUGAUUCUUCCACUAGUAUGGAUAAAGCAUCCUUGUGGCAUUGUCGUCUUGGACAUGUCAACAAGAAACGCAUAGCCCAACUCCAAAAGGAUGGAGUGUUGGAGUCAUUCGACCUUAGGGAAGAUGACACAUGCGAGUCUUGUUUGCUUGGAAAGAUGACUAAGUCACCCUUCACGAGUACGUGUGAAAGGGGUGAGGGUCUAUUGGACUUAAUACAUACCGAUGUAUGUGGACCGUUUAGAUCAACCACGAAGGAUGGGAACCGCUUCUACGUGACUUUUACCGAUGACUAUAGUAGAUAUGGGUAUAUCUACUUAAUCAAGCAAAAGUCAGACACCUUUGAAAAGUUCAAAGAGUUCAAGAAUGAAGUGGAGAAUCAAUUGGGCAGGAAAAUCAAGAUGCUUCGAUCCGAUCGAGGAGGAGAGUACCUAAGUCUUGAAUUCCACGAUUAUCUCAAGGAGUGUGGAAUAGUUUCACAAUUGACGCCUCCUAGGACACCGCAGUUGAAUGGUGUGGCAGAAAGGCGUAAUCGAACCUUAUUGGAUAUGGUUCGCUCUAUGAUGAGUCGUGCUUCACUACCUAUCUCUUUUUGGGGGUAUGCCUUAGAGACUGCCGCCCAUAUCCUUAACCGAGUCCCUACUAAGAAGGUUGCCAAAACACCUCACGAGAUGUGGACAGGGAAAGCUCCCUCGUUGGCACAUAUCAAGGUUUGGGGUUGCGAGGCUUUCGUAAGACGAGAUACUCACGACAAGCUUGAACCUCGAAGUGAGCGAUGUAUUUUCAUCGGCUACCCGCAGACAUCCUUUGGAUAUCUCUUCUAUAGACCGAAGGACAAUGUUGUCUUCGUUGCGAGGAGAGGAGUUUUCCGAGAGCGAGAACUCAUAAGCCAAGGAGACAGUGGGAGGCAAAUCGAACUUGAAGAGAUUCAAGAGUCGAUAGAUGAAGGAACCUCUACCGCUGGCACUCAACCCGAGGAGGAAACUCCGGUUGAACCGAUUGACGAAUCCUUACCUCUUAGACGUUCCGAUAGAGUUAGAGUUCUUCCCCAGUUUUAUGGUUUUCAUAUUACUACCGAAGGGGACACGUAUAUUAGUGAUGGUACACUAGUAAAUCUUGAUGAACCUAAUAGCUAUAAGGAAGCCAUGGCAGGCCCGGAGUCUGCAAAAUGGAAAGAGGCAAUGGAUAGCGAGAUCCAAUCCAUGUAUGAUAACCAAGUUUGGAAUUUGGUUGAUUAUGUGCCCGGACGUAAGACCGUUGGGUGCAAAUGGAUCUUCAAGAAGAAGACCGACGUGGAUGGAAACGUACACACAUAUAAAGCGCGAUUGGUUGCGAAGGGCUUUACUCAAACUCCCGGAGUUGACUAUGAUGAGACCUUCUCACCAGUUGCGAAGAUUAAAUCUAUUAGAGUGAUGCUAGCAAUUGCCGCAUUUCAUGAUUAUGAGAUUUGGCAAAUGGAUGUCAAGACCGCUUUCCUUAACGGAAAGUUGGCUGAGGAUGUUUACAUGGCUCAGCCAGAGGGGUUUGUGGAUCCGAAGCAUCCGGAUAGAGUGUGUAAGCUUGAGAAGUCCAUUUAUGGACUUAAGCAAGCGUCUCGCAGAUGGAAUCUUUGCUUCGAUGAGAAAGUCAAAGAGUUUGGAUUUGUACGAAGCGAAGACGAAUCUUGUGUAUAUGUCAAAGCCAGUGGGAGUAUAGUAAGCUUCCUCGUUCUAUAUGUCGAUGACAUAUUACUCAUAGGAAACGACAUCCCGACUCUGCAGGAGGUUAAGUCCUGGCUCGGGAAGUGCUUCGCUAUGAAGGACCUCGGAGAGGCUUCUUACAUUUUGGGAAUAAGGAUAGUAAGAGAAAGAAGUAAGAGACUAAUUGGACUUAGUCAGAAUACUUACUUAGAGAAGGUACUAAAACGUUUUAGUAUGGAAAACUCAGAGAAGGAAGAAUUAUCGAUACAAAGUAAUGCCAAGUUGAGUAAGAGCCAAAGUCCGAGUACCGAAGCUGAAAUAGCAGAAAUGAGCCGAGUACCAUACGCUUCCGCAGUUGGCUCAAUCAUGUACGCUAUGACUUGUACUCGCCCUGAUGUAGCCUUCGCUUUGAGCAUGGUUAGCAGAUAUCAAGGGAAUCCUGGCAAAGCACAUUGGAUUGCGGUGAAGAAUAUCCUUAAGUACCUUCGGAGGACGAAGGAAUGGUUCUUAGUCCUCGGAGGGAGUGAUGACUUGAAGGUGCGAGGGUAUAGUGACGCCAGUUUUCAGACCGACAGGGACAACUACCGUUCGCAGUCGGGCUGGGUCUUUACCCUAAAUGGAGGAGCAGUGACAUGGAAAAGUUCCAAGCAGGAAACCGUAGCUGAUUCAACGUGCGAAUCAGAGUACAUUGCAGCGAGCGAAGCGUCGAAGGAGGCAAUAUGUCUGAAGAACUUCAUCAGUGAUCUUGUAGUCGUACCUGCCAUAAAGGAGCCCAUGGAGAUUUUCUGUGAUAAUGAAGGAGCGGUUGUCUUGACCAAGGAACUGAAGGAUCAUGGUAGAUCACGACAUAUCGACAGAAAAUAUCAUUUUAUCAGACAUCGUGUAGAAGAAGGACAACUCGUAGAGAAGAGGAUAUCAUCAGAAGAUAACCCAGCAGAUCCGCUUACGAAGGGACUGAGUAGGGUUAAGCACUUACAGCAUGCUAGGAGUAUUGGGCUGAAGGAUGAUAUUAGCAUAGAUUAGAUAGUAUUAGAAACGUGUAAUAGAUAAAUGUAAUUAACAUUUGAUGAUUAAAUAAAGGAGUUUUAUUUAUGAGUAAUGUUACUAUCUUAUGUUAAUUGUUUAACUAUUGUUUCAUUUUGCAUGUUUUGACUUCCAGAAUAAUUGAAUUUAUUAAGAAUAAUUAAAUUAUUCAAAUUGUCCAAAAUCAUUCAUAUGUUGGAAGUAGAUAUGACUGAUGAUUGUCAUGAAUUGGUGUGUAGAUUGUCUAAAUGGUGUUAGACAUAGCAAAGGGUUGCUGCAACAUUCAUGAGUGCUUAUGAACUGGUUUUGAGCAUUGAAACAAACCCGCGCUUGCUGGAAUCACCUUAUGGAAUAUGAUAUAAAAGGGUGAUCGCAAGACGAUAAUAUCAUAUAGUCUUAAAACCUAGAUAUAUGGUUUGUUAUUUGUUAAUUGAUUGUACAUUGAUAAUGCGAAAACGCAUCAGUAACUCGGUGUUAUAAAACGCAUUGUUGUGUAUAGUUGAUUAAUGAAUAAGUAAAUGCAUAUAAGUCGAAGUUUAUCUGUAACUUUUAUCCUAAGAAGGUAAAAGCGAUAUCUCGGCCGCUCGAUGAUUUGAUUUGACUUAUGUGCCGGGCCCGGUCAGAACUGAAUUGAUGUGUUCGAUUAAGUUCUAUGUCAAAUAAAUCAGAGAUCGAGAAACCUAAAUGCUUGACUAACCAUUCCAUAGGAUUGUCAGCAUGAUAUCUAACAGAGGACUGUACGUUCCCUUAUCUAAAGGACAAGAUUGAUUAGAUCAGAGUUGACAGCGUCUUUGAGAGCUACGAUUGCAAACCGAAUUGUACUUGUAUAGUUACUAGACUUAUCCAAGUGGGAGACUGUUGGAAUAGUGUCUAAGGCUGUAACUAUAUUAGGCAAGUAUUUGAUCCGGUUGUGCAUGGUCCUUUUGGGUUGCCUUCACCAUAGCAACUUGAUAGGAUGAUUUAUUAAGAGAGAGUAAAUAUUAUUAAUAUAUUAUGAGAAUAAUAUAAAGAAUAAUAUAUUGUUAUUUGAUUAAUAUAAGUCAUAGAAUUAAUUGGAAUUAAUUUGGUGACUUAAAGAGAUUAAUUAAAUAAAGGGGUAUAAACUGUCAAUUGUUUGAUAGUUAAGCUUUAGACUGUAAAUCCAUUUGGAUAUGCUAUGGACGAAUUCUAAGAGGUUUAGGAUAGCUAAAAUCGUCCAUAUGCUUAUCUAUGGAAUGGAUUUGGAUAGCCUUAAGAGAAGAUUAUCCAAUUAGGGUUUAGGUUGUAACCCUUAAGGAGUCUACAAGUAUAAAUAGACCCCAUGGCAUAGGGAAUUCGACACAUCUCAUAAAGUAAGAGAACCCUGGCCGAAUUCCUCCCCUCUCCUCUCUCCUAAAUCAUUCUUCUUGCUAUUGGUGUUUGUAAGCCAUUAGAGGAGUGACAAUUGUGACUCUAGAGCUCCAAGACAACAAAAUCAAACAAGAGAUUCAAAGGUAUGAUUCUAGAUCUGAUUUAGUAUUGUUAUAACACCUAAUUAGUCAUUAGAAGUCUUGGAUUCAAAGCAUGUUUAAUUAGAAAGCCUAGAUCCAAGCAUUAGGGUUUUGCAUGCGCACAUAGGAAAGUUCUUAUGGCUAAAACCCAUCAAUUUUAGGAUUCACUUACAGGCUCCAACUGAUCGUACCCUUUGCAUCCUCCAUCCUUUAUUUUGAAAACUGUUUCUGAAACUUACUUUUCAAAAAUCUCCUUGAUUUGAGACUGGAUUAACACGAGUGUUCCUCCAAUUCACUCAAACCAAGGCUCUAAUACCAACUUGUAACAUCCAUAAAUUUUACACCAAAUUUAAACUUUUUUCGAUGAUAAUUAAAAAUCAAAUAGCAUUGUUUACAAGAGUGUUUUCAAAUCAAUAUCCAUCAGAGUAUCCCAAAAUCAUUACAUAAGGAUGAUGAGCAGUACGGUCACGCCUUCGCCUUGCCAUGAUCCCCUGAAGUACCUGAACAAUAAACUGAAACUGCAAGCCCAAGGGGUUAGUGAGCUACCCCCAAAAUACCAAUAGCACACUGACAAUGCCAUAUCAGUAACAAUCAAUCUAUCAACAUGCAUACUGGCCAUCAGCCUGACUGGACCGCCCUACUGGGCCUACAAUCUAUCUGAAUUUAUCCCGAGCCUUCGGCACGACUGGUCUACCUCGUGGGCCUGCAGUCUAUCCGGAACGCUCAUAGGGUAUGUUGGCAUUUAGCACAAAGCAAGACUACCUUAACCCAACCAACAAGCAAAUAACCAUGUGCGCAUAACUAUCAUAUACUAGCAUAUACAAACAUCAAACAUAUUUAUCACGCUUAUCAUCAAUCAUAGAAUUCUCUCGUAACUAGAGUACCAACGUAGCAGGUCACUAACAUAUCAGUCCUUACAAAUCAUAUGAGCAUAACAUACUGUCUACCCUAAUUCCGAUCUUACAGAUCAUAACCACAUGUAGCCUACCAUUGAUGGGUUUUGAGCAUUCUAACACUUCCUAAGUGUACAUGCAACCCUAAUAACCUUGAAUCUAUGUUUUUUCUAUAUACACGCAAAUUUAUUUUUCAAGGUUAUUUCCUAACUAGCAUGGCAUGGGGAAUAUAUAAAACAUAAAACUAGUAGAAAUACAUACCUUGUUGUUGCUUGGAUUCCUUCAAGACUUUGUGAGCCUAGCACCCCAUAUGUUGUGCCUCAAAUGCUUCACACAACACUACAAACGUGGAAUAACUUGAGAGAAUGUCACUUAGCCUCAAAAUCGGUUGUGCCCUCUUAUGAAUACCCUAGUGCUGAUUUUGCAUGGUAUAGGGUUUCUUUUAUAGUGUGUCAUAAUUAGGAGUUACAAGUGUAAACCCUAAUUGUCAUGACUCUUCAUUUCUCAUGACCCAUGGACUUGUAACUCCCAUGGACUAUCCAUGGAGCUUCAUAUGGUUAUAACCAAACCUAUAAACCAUGGAUAAUUAAUCCACCAUAAAAGAAUUGAUGAUUGUCAUAAUCAACCCUAUAUAUUUAAUUAGUCUCACUUUGAUCACCAAAUUAAUACUAUAUUAAUACUUGAUCAAUACUAAUUAAAUAAUACUAUUAUUAAUAUAUUAGAACUUAUAAUAUAUUAAUAAUCAUAAGCGCCUUAUUCUCUCAUCUAAUCUAUCCAAGUAUUGCAAUGCCAUGCAACCCAAAUGGACCAUGUCGGGUCGGGUCAAGUACAUACCAAAUAAAGUUAUGGACUUAAACACUGAUGAGAUAUGGUCCACUAGCAUGGCCUAGACUGAUCUAGAGCCCCAGCCUAGCCUGGCGCGCUCCUGCCAGCCCUGCCUGGCGUUCCCUUGCAAGCCUCGGUGGGGACUCUCGCACCGGCCCGGCCUGGUACUCCCUUGCCAGCCUUGCUGGGGACUCUCCUGCCGGCUCGGCCAGGCGCUCCCUCGCCUGGCACUCCCUUGCCAUCCUCUUCUGGUGGGCUGACCCAAGGCCUGACCUAAUUCCCAUUGACCUAAUUGUCCCCUAUAUAAUAAAUAGUACCUCUUCCAUGGAGAGGGAUCUUUCCCCAGAUCUACCCCAUGGCUCAGCCGCCACUAUACUCCGGCCGGGUGGCUCAGCCGCCACCUGCCGCCGUCAGCCACCACACACCACCACUAGCACCAAGAUGGUUCUCUCUAGCUAUGGAGGACCAUCUCUGAUCUACCAGAUGAUCUAAGUUGACCGUCGGAGUUCGCAACCUCAAAAUUACACAAGCACUGCCAUUUUUACCGUUUUACAGUUUGUAGCUCAUUGUCUUACCAAAUGAAUGCAAAAAAAAGGGAGAAGGAUACAUAGUGCUCCAUAAAAAAUGGAUGGUGCUUAUACCUCGUUCUAGAUAAUAAAAAGGGGGGGGGGAUGGGCAGUAUACACCACAUGCUAUAAGACAAGCAUUUAGGUGGGCCCGGGUCACACAUCUAAAAAAGAAGCAAAAAGACAAAAGGAGUUGGCAUUGGACCCCACCUGCCCCACUGGCCAAGGGAUGCUAUUUCACGCAUCGAUGACCCAAUCCAAGAUGGUGAUAAUCGCUCCGCCAGCAACCAGAUCCUGUAGCUUCCAGUGGCAACCACCGGUCUUUGUUUCUCGAUUCAUCAUUGGGGAAGCGAAACCACAGUUCCACCAAGACCAACGCCGAUAGCUCCAACACCGAGAAACCACAGUUCUGGUCUCCACCAUCAAUGCAUCACCGAUCGCUGAUAGUUGCUUCAGCAUCCGUUACUCGUCUCCAGCAGACCAAUGGCAGCUACUGCGAAGCCAUUCUGAGAUGCAACCCCAUCAGCGACCUACAUACCAUUCUCCUGUCUCUAACACCUACCUGGCAUCAUCGAUUACCAUCAACACCAUUGACCCAGCAAAGUAACCGCCGGUAAAGAAAACCAGAACACAAGCAAUCGCCGGAGCUGUCUCUGGUCAGUCCCUGCCCAUCAAGAAGACUACCAGGAAUAUCUGGUUCGCCGCCGGCAGAUAGAGCAGCAGCAUCGCCAAUCGAUCCUCCUAUAGGCGCGGCCUAGCACUGCCGCUCCUUCACUGCUCGUCACAGGCCAAAAGCAGCUCAAACUUUGGUCGUCAUCGGAAUGGAUGGAUCGAUCGCAGCCGCCGGUUGUAGCCAUCACCUUCGAACCACUCAUGUAGGCAACCUUCGGUAGUUGUCGGCUUGACAAGGCAGCACCCCCAACAAGAACCACCAUCGGCCAUCGUUGAACAUUUCUUUUUGGCACCUCCUCUUCAAAGUGGUAGGGAAAGGCUGAGGAUAUCACGUUUCCUUUUUCAAAAAUAAUGAAAGCAAUGGGCUAGGUUUACGCAUUCGAAAAGAAAAGAAGAAAAGAGGAUUUGGGAUCCAAAUGGGCUGCGACAAUUCCACAAGUGGGCUUCAUAAGUUUUAUGUUGGACUUGGCCAAUUACUUCACUGGGUUGUUGCACUUAAUUUGGGCUCCUUUAGUUUUCAUAUUGGGUUAUCUUAGUAACAACGAAAUGUCCCAACUUUGCAAGACAAAAAUCAACAAUUUAAUAUUUGCAUGUCGCAAGCCCCGCUCAGCAAAUACUUCUCAAAAUACGCUUGGUGUUUUCAAAAAAAAAUGGGGGAGGGACUCAGCUCGUGAAGCAUUUCGAAAUAACCCUCAGUAAGCGUGUUAUUUGGCUAUUAGCAGCUGUGUUGACCAACCCCAUGAAGUCUCACGACUCAGCUCUCACCAUUAAUGGUGACCGGCUUCCGCUAGCCUCAUUGCU
rnacentral:lncRNA from 1 species